rnacentral:lncRNA from 1 species
UAAAUCUAUACGGAUGUCCUUCGACUGCUCGCUGAAAUCCUUUUUGCCCUAGCCGGUAGGUCUCUAGACGUUAUAGAGAACCCCAAACAAUCCAAACUGCUAAUCUUCGAUACCGCUUUAUAUUCACGAUCUUGUAUCCACUGACUGUCUCAUUAGAUUAACCCAAUAAAUUUCAUUCACUCCGCAUACUCAAUCCUUUAGGCACCUUUUUAAUUCUUCAUCACAGACGUAACUCGAUUUCACAAAACAGUCAAGAGUAAUGACACCCACUUCAUUAAAAUCCCGAUUCACCAGUACAACACUGACUUCAGCAACGAUUGCCUCAGUCUUUCCAAAACCCUAUGAAGAAAAAAAAUCCCAAUUCUCUGUUUUUUUUCCCUGCCCUGAAGCAUGAAGCUAGCUCUCCGACCCUUCUAAAAAACUUAUUCUCUUCCCUUCCAUUUCUUAACCUAUCCUCCUCUUUAACCCUAAUUCUCUCCUCUCUCAAACCCUAGCCUCUGAAUUUCUUCAAUCUUCCGUCUUGGAUCCAAAAUUGGCUCUGUCGUCAGAGCUUUCUCCUCCAUUUUUACCUUUAAGAGAUCCUUUUACUAAAGGGACAUUCCCGGAUCGGCACAAAGGACGGAACAGCCUGAAACGAAAUCGAAACCCCCCUAAUCGGGACCACAUUGAGUCGCCUGACCAAGUCAGGUCUCAUAUUGGGUAAGAGGACCAUAAUAGGACAUGGAUUGGAUGUCUUGAAAUUGGAUCCAAUUGGCUUUUUGAACCAGGCUCACCCGUCGUUGAAUUGGUCCUUUUUCUUUCUGCUGACUCCCGUUAUUAGAAUCGAACAAAGCAUUUCAGUAUGCCCUGACUGACUGUAACGGGGUGACUAACCCUGGCCUCUCAGUAUUUGCCCUGGAAUUGGUCAUUGCUCCCAAUAUUUGAGGUAACUGAACAUUAAUAAAAGUCCCCUUUCUUUAUAUUUUCACGGUAUACUCGUGUUACAACACGACACCGGGCAUCUGGCUGUAGGAGGUAAUAUGAUGUUUUGCUAGUACUCAAGCAGUCUAUCGGGUUCUUGACUACCCAAAUACAAUCUAUAUCGGAUUACAAUGUAAAAGCUUAAUUCUAAUAUAAAAUGCCUAGAGACCCUAUAUAACUUCAAUCUCUUUUAUUAUUUUUAUUUUUAUUUUAUUUAUUUUAUGUUUUUUAUUUUAUCUUUAUUGUUAAUUACCUUAAUUCUAAAUCGUGAACUUCUGCAAGGUGUGAUCCUCAAUCUGUCCUUUCGACUUGUUGUGAAACAUCUAUCGCUAGUGUCUCUGCAAGCCCUUUCGAAUGCUCAAGAAGUUCCAGUUCAACCCCGCUUACAGAUUGUGAGGCUAUGCUGCAAUCCGUACCGAUGUCCCUUGGCCGCUUACCGAUAUUCCUCUUAUCCCUGUUGGUAGGUCCUUAGUUAUCAUAGAAAUCCUAAACAAAUCCCAAUUUGCCAACUCCCAAAACCUCUUUAAACUGUUGGCAGAUAUCUUCUAUCCGUAUAGUCAGAUUAACACAACCACACAUGCAUUCAGCAUACUCAACCUUCUAGACAACUCUGAAUUUCAACCACAGAAGUAUCUCCCAUUCCAACAACAAUCAAGAGUACCAGCCUUUUCUUCUCUUAUGGAAAAUCCAGUUCACCAAUAUAUCACUGACUUUCAGCAACGAUUGUCUCAGUCUUCUUAAAACCCUAUGAAGAAAAAAAAACCCCAACUCUCUGUCUUUUUUUCAACGUGAAGCUAGUUCUCCAACCCUUAAAAUUCUGAUUCUCUCCUCUUCAUUUCUUAACCUAUCCUUCCCUUUAAUCCUGAGAAGAUCCUAUUCUUUCGCCUUGGAUUCUUUGAAUUGGAACAGCCGAUGGAGCUUUCUCUCCCCCAUUUUUGCCUUUAAGAGAUCUUUUUACUGAAAGGAUGUUUCCGAAACAAUACAAAGAAUUGGAACAACCUGAAACAAAAUUGAAGCCCGUAAUCAGACCACAUUGGAUUGCGUAACCAAGUCAGGUCUCAUAUUGGGUAAGAGGCCCAUAAUAAGAUCUGGAUUCGAGGUCUUCUGAAAUUGGAUCCAAUUGGCUCUUCGAACCAAGCUCACUUGUCGUUGAAUUAGUCCUUUCCCAUUCUACAGACUCCCAUUAUUGGAAUCGAAUGGAGCAUUUCGUUAUUGGUGAGUAUGCCUCGGCUGACUAACGGGGUGACUGAACCUGGCCUCUCAGUAUUUGUACUGGAAUUGGCCAUCGCUUCUAAUACCCAAGGUGACUAAAUAUUAAUAAGUCUUCUUCAUUUAUAUUUUCAUCAUAUAGACGUGUUACAACAUGACAAUGGAGGCACCCUUGGAGGCAGCGUAACACCUUGGAGUGGUAUACCAAUGUGGAGGUCCGGGGGAAUACUUGAUAUAUCCGACAGAUUUGGAAAGCUCUGAUUAUGUUAGUAUUGAUUGGAUGAUCAAGUAUGAUGUGCACCAUGUUAGUACCAUGGACACAGGAUUCAGUACUUGACACAUGUCAGACUUACCAACUGAUUUUCAACCAGCGCGGGGGUUGAAACAGAACAUCGUUGUUGUAGCUUUAAGUCAAACUAUUAAUUUGGCAACCAGAGCAGAGCCACAGAUAAUUAAGGUCUACAAAGAUAUUAAGGACCAGAAGUUGACCUAUUAGACAGAAUUUUUCUUGCAUCAUAAGUCCACUUUUGCUUGGACUUAUGCUGAUUUAAAGGAUAUUUUCUCUGACGUCUAUGAGCAUCGUAUCAUUUUAGAGGAGAACUCUAAAUUGGUACGGCAAAAGCAACAUCACCUUAAUCCUAAAUAUUCCCUCAUGGUGAAGGAAGAAUUGGACAAGCUUCUUGCAAUUGAUUUUAUUUACUCGAUAUCAAAUAGCGAGUGGAUUUCUCCAAUUAUCAUGGUGCCAAAAAAGAAUGAAAAAAUACGCAUUUGUCAGGAUUUUCAAAAACUUAAUGCGGCUACCAAGAAGGAUUACUUUCCGUUGCCUUUUACAAAUAGUAUAUUGGAUGCCAUAGUCGGUCACAAAUGUUAUUCAUUUUAUAAUCGAUUUUGUAGAUAUAAUCAAGACAAAUUACAAUGGAAGACCAGCUUAAGAUGACCUUUACUAUGGAUUAGGGCACAUUUGCUUAUUGCGUGAUGCCUUUUGGAUUAUGUAACAUCACAGCCACGUUUCAAAGAGUGAUAACUUAAGCCUUCUAAGACUAUCUCCGGAUGUUUAUAGAGCUCUUUUUAGAUGACUUUUGUGCAUUCACUACAAAACAUGAUCAUCUUAAUUGUCUAGGACAAAUGUUUGGCUUGGUGCAUUAAAUUUGGAAUAUCAUUGUAUUUGGAGAAGUGUCAAUUUGGUGUUCCGUCCAAAAAAUUAUUAAGACAUAUCAUCUCUAACCAUAGUAUUGCUACAGAUCUUGACAAAGUACAGUAUAUAAUGAACUUGAUCUGAUCAGAGAUGGUCUCCGGUGUUCAUGGAUUUGUGGACCAUGUUAGUUAUUAUCGAAGAUUCAUUCGUUUGUUCAAAUGGAUUUGUUGAUCCCAAUUAUUGGAAUUAAACGGAGUAUUGUAUUGCUGAUAAGUAUGCCCCGAUUGCUUGCUAUUUCCACAUAUAGGCACAUAAUUGUCACUGGCUCAAGGAUUGAGACAUUCUCUAGCACAAUUAUCAAUCGGUUUGCAAUGAAAACAACGAAGUCGUCUUCUUGUACCCCCAUCAGGUAUAUUCAGUAUCUCCACUAGUAUAUACCUACUAGGCUUGUUCCAUGUAGGAUUAGAAAAUGAACUUGAUCAUCCCGUUGUCCUGUUCUAACGUGAGUAUACAGUGAAAAAUAAAAAGAAAGGGGAAUUUUAUUAAUAUUCAGUUACCUCGAAUAUUGGGAGCAUCGACCAACUCCAGUACAAAUACUGAGUGGUCAGGUUCAGUCACUCCGUUACAGUCAGCCGGGGCAUACUGAAAUGCUCCAUUCGAUUCCAAUAACGGGAGUCAGCAGGAAGAGAAGGACCAAUUCACACGACGGGUUCGAGGAGCCAAUUGGAUCCAAUUUCGAUAAUCCAAUCCGGGUCUUCUUAUCCAAUAUGAGACCUGAAUUGGCUGGGCAACCCAAUGCAGUCUAAUUACGGGAAAUCCAAGUCUUACUACGGGUCUUAGCCAAUCUGAUGCGAGGACCAAUUUGACCCAAUUACGGGAACAUCCAGGUUACUACGGGCAUCUUUCCCAAUACAGGACCUGAAUUGGUCGGGCGACUCAAUGUGGUCCCGAUUACGGGGUUCGAUUCUGUUUCAGGCUGUCCUGUUUUUUGUGCCGUUUCAGGGAACGUUGUUUUCGGUAAAUGGAUUUCUUAAAGGUAAAAACAGAGGAGAAAGCUUGACGGCGAGAGCCAAUUUCGGAUCCAAGCUUGAGGUGGGAGCCAAUUCCGGAUCUAAGACGGAAGAUUGAAGAAAUUCAGAGGAUAAGGUUAGGGGAGAUAUAGUUUUGAGGGAGGAGGUUUUUUUUCUUUCGGAGAAUCGGGGGAGGGGGAGGUAGUUUUCAAGCUUUUGCAAGGUUACUAGUUCAGUUUCAUUGGAGGUUUUUGAAGAUCAAGGAAAUUAGAGAGAGGAGCUUCAUGCUUCGGGUCGGGGAAGGAAAGACAUAGAAUUUGGAUUUUUCUUCUUCGUAGAGUUUUGAGAAGACUGAGGCAAUCGCUGCUGAAGUCAGUGUUGUAAUGGUGAAUCGGGAUUUUUAAAUGAAGUGGGUUUGAAUACUCUUGACUGUUUUGUAAAAAUUGAGUUACGUUUGUGAUUGAAGGAUUAAAGGGGUGUCUAUAGGAUUGAGUAUGCGGAGUGAAUGAAAUUUAUUGGGUUAAUCUAACAGGACAGUCAGUGGAUACAAGAUCGUAAGUACAAAGGAGUAUUGAAGAUUAACAGUUUGGGUUGUUCGGGGUUCUCUGUAACCUCUAGAGACCUAUCGGCUGGGGCAAAAAAAAAAAGACUUCGACAAGUAGUCGAAGAGCAUUCGUAUAGAUUUACAGUACAUUGUUACAGUCGUUUAUAUUCCAGCAGUCAAAAACUGAUAGACUGCUUGACUAUCAGCAAAUCUCCAUACUACCUUCUACAGCCAGACGCCCGGCGCGUUCUCGAGCAGGAAAGCACGUAAUACGGUAUUUGUGGUGAACCCGACGUGAAAGCUUGAGGUAGAAGGUAUUGGAUUUCGGUUGAUUUUAUCUUUAUUUUUAUGGAAAACGAAAAUAAAAAUUUUGAAGGAUUUUUGGGAGAAGUUUCUGGUGGGGAGUCUUCUAAAGGACAAGGUAUGUACAUGGAUCCGUCUAUUGCUAGUUUGUUUCAAGCCUUCUCAUUGUCAAUGCAGCAACAGCAAAGCAAUGAUCGAAAGGAAGCUUUGGCAACCAAAGCAUUGCAAGCAGUGGUCAAUAAAAUUGAUCAAUUUGAUGGGAGGAAUAUUUCAAGGUAUUUAAGAUGUUAUGUUCGUGAAAUGGAAUUAAAUCGGGUUUCUGAGAAGAAAAUGGUUGCACUAUUUGGACUUGCCACGAUACUGGAGAUAAGGGACCACAUUACAUCGAUUACGGAUCGUUGUGGGAAUUCAUGGGAGGAUUUUUCACAUGCAUUGAAAGACGAAUAUUUCUUGGAAGAUGUUGAUCGCGUUACUAAGAAGCUGUUUCUGGGAUGGAUUGAACGGCCCAAUAAGAAUUUGCAAGCAACAGAGCUACUAAGGGAAUUUGAAAGGCAGUACUCUCAAUUAUCGAAGGUAGAAAAAUUGACAUUAGAGCCGAACAAAGUUGAUCUAUUUCUUCAAGCUACUGAUAGAGAAUUGCAAGAGAAAUUAGAACCUCUUCUUGAAGACAAAGAAGAAGAUGAAGGAUUGACAACGAAGUGGAAGAACGUUGAAGAUGCGGUGGGGUUGCUUACAAAAAAAGAAAGGAGGAAGGAUAGGAGCAAUAUUUCGAAAACAGUACAAGCACCCAAAGCUCCAGUACGUACAACACCACCGACAAUGCCUACAGUUCAACCUUCAACAUCCUUGUCAAAGAAAGCAGAUAUGGGUAUGGAAGAAAUUAUACGAGGAAUGCAAGAUCUUCAAAUCAAAUUGGCAAGACUUGAAGAGAAUACUUCUAUAAAUAAUUCGAAGAAUGUUUCAAAACAAGGAUAUGUACAAAGAUGCAUUUGGUGUGAUGAUGCUUCACACACUAGAAAAGAUUGCAAUAAAUUUAAUAAUAUGAUACGGCAAGGAAUUAUUUGCUGGAAAGAUGGGAAGAUAGCAUUGAAAGAUAGGGAGGAUCUUCUUCAAACCAAUUUUGGCAAGGGAGGAAUGAGAGCAUUGGUUCAAGAUUACUUAAAAGAGCAUGAAACAGUAGUACGAGAAAGUGCAAGUUAUGGUGCUAGAGUAGAUGAUGAAAUUGGUGGAAGUACGGAAACUAGUGAGUUUUGGGCUUCUGCCGUUUCUACAAUGCAAAAAGGGAAAUUACCUCAAGAAGCGUUAUUGAGAACUGCAGCUACAAUACGAGGAAGAACAUGUUGAGAGGAUCCUGUUGAGUCUCUUUCAGUUCAUGCAUAUAUUGCUAAGAGCCAACAUGAAGCUUUGAUGGAAGAAAAAAGACGAGGAAAUUUUGAUGAUACUAGAAAAGGAAAUUCUUUUAAGAGGCAAACUCGAGGAGACAAGGCUCGGGAGGCAGCUUCACAAGAAUUGCCUGUAAAGGAUACCUCAGCAUCAUUGGGAGAAAAAACAACGGAGACAAAAGAUAAGGGCAAAUCAAUUGCUUAUAAGCUACUUUCUGACAUUGAAGCGGCAACAAAUUUGAAAGGGGUAUUGGAAGAACGUAUAUUAAACGCUAAGGUGGAAUUCACAUUGAAAGAAGUCUUGGGAAUUGCCAAGAAGGAGUUUCAUGAUGUUAUCAUUGACAGUAUUAAGCGAAAGAGGCAAUUAAUGGACAAAACUAGAAUGAGUCAUGCUAUUGAUGCAAGAAUAUGUAGAGAUGAAGAAGAGGCUGAUAAUGGUUACAAACAACCAACAAAUGAAAAGAAUGGGUAUAAUCAACGAGUACAUUUCGGAGAUUCUAGUGACAAGGAAAUGGAAACUUUGAGCCAUUAUACUCGAAAGCAUUGGGCAAGGGCAACUACUAAGGUAUUGGUGAAGGUAGGAGAUAUAGAAGAACCAAUAGUUGCUUUGGUGGACCAUGGUUCUGAAAUAAAUCUCAUGUCUAAAGAUCUUUAUAAGAAGCAAAAAUGGCCAAUUGAUAUGGAACAUGGAUGGGCAAUACGAGCAGCUAAUAACACACGAGGCGAAUUAUAUGGAGCUUGUCCAGAUGUUAAAAUUCGGAUUGGGGAUGUUGCGACGGAGCAACAUUUCUUCGUUCAAGAUACAACGUCUUAUCCGUUGAUUUUAGGACAACCUUAUAUCACGGCAACACAGAUGGAAACAGAGGUACUUGACGAUGGUUCUGCUUAUGCAAGGGUACGGAGCGAAGAUGGGAGGAAAGCUAUACAAUUUCUAACAGUACCUCCUAACCAUGAACGGAAUCGAGAUAGGUUGAGGGAGAAACCAUUGCCAAAGAUUGUUGAAGGAUUUAAGGAUUUUGGGGAGGUACCACUGUAAAGCGAGAUUAUGGAGGUACAAAAGAGGAGGUACUCUCGCGAGAUGAAGGUGCCUUUGAUGCGAGUUUUAUUGGUAUAUUGGAGAAUGGAAAUAUUAUGUAUAAGAAAGUUGAUGAUUUUAAAAGAAAAGAAAGAAAAAGAUUAUAUGAUAUUGAAGGACAGUUACGCAAGAUAGGUACAUUGCAAGAUGAUGAGAGGAUUUUGGGUGUUUAUGAAGAAAAUGGGCUGGAAGAUUCAUUGGAACUGAUUACAUCUAUUGGGUUAGGAGAUAAUGAUAAGAUUGUUGAGAUUCAUUCGAGAGAGGUUUAUACCAUGCUUGAAUCUUUUCAAGCACCAGAAGUCAUAGUAGAGACGAGAUAUAAAACGACAGAUAAGAAGGUAAAGCGAGUUGCCGGACCAUUAGCAGAGGAUUCUAAAGAACAAAUGGGAGAAGCAUCAAAAGAAGCAAGUUUAAGAGAUCCAAUGAGUAUUAGACAUCAGUUUACUGAAGAGACUUUUGAAGAAUUGAAGAUUGGUUCUGAUGGUUCUUUAUUGCCGGAGGAAAUUACUUGCUUCAAAAAGAUGUUGGCUAAACAAGGUAGAUCGUUUGCCUUCGAAUCUCAUGAAAUUGGGUGUGUGGAUCCAAAUAUUAUAACACCUAUGGUUAUCUUCACUGUACCGCAUGUACCUUAGAAUCUAAGACCGAUUCCAGUACCGAGGGCACAUUUACCUAAAUUGGUGGAACUAUUGAAAGAAAAGAUAAAGAUGAAAAUAUUAGAACCUUCAUUUGCGCCGUAUUCUAGUCGAUGGUUUACGGUACCUAAGAAGAAUGGGUCACUGCGGUUUAUUCAAGAUAUGCAGCCGGUGAAUGCUUUAACUGUCAGGAAUGCAGGAAUUGGACCUAUUGUGGAUGAAUUUGCUGAGGCGUUUGCUGGAAGGGCGAUCUAUUCAAUGGGUGAUUUGUAUUCAGGUUAUGAUCAAUUUCAACUUGCCGAAGGAAGGAGAGAUAUGACAACGAUGAGGACACCGCUUGGAUUGGUUAGAAUGUGCACUCUUCCUCAAGGCGCGACCAACUCAGUUGCGCAUAUGAUGAAUGGGAUGAAUAAGGUAUUGAGAGAUUUUAUUCCGAAAAAGACUAUGCCUUUUCUGGAUGAUGUUCCUAUAAAAGGGUGCAAAGAAGGAGACAAGGAUGAAACUUUAGAUACGAGGGGGUGUCGCAGAUAUGUUGUUGAUCAUAUACAAGAUUGUGAAAAGAUUUUAACUCGGCUUGGAGAAGUUCAUCUUACAUUAUCGGGUAUGAAGUCCGUAUUUGGAGUGCGAGAGGUUGUAAUUGUUGGACAUUUAUGCGGAUCUUACGGAAGAAAACCAGAUCCGACUAAAGUUGAUGCAAUUGGAAGGAUGAAAGAGGAUUGUGGUUCUUUAACAGAGGUUCGCAGAUUUUUGGGUGCAAGUGUAUUUUAUCGAAUCUGGAUCCCUCAUUUUGCUCACAUAGCGGAUCCAUUAUAUGAACUGUUACGCAAGGGUUACCGAUUUGAAUGGGAAGAAAGGCAUAUUCAGGCAAUGCAAAGAUUGAAGAAAUUUUUGAUGUCACCUCCAAUAUUGAGGAAGGUUGAUUAUAAGUGCAAUAGACCAGUGAUUCUUACUGUAGACGCUAGUCCAAUUGCCGUUGGAUGGGCUGUGGGUCAAGGUGAUUCGAAUGGGAGUAGAUUUGCAGUUCGAUUUGGGGCUAAAGUUUUAAGUAUUCGUCAGCGUGCAUAUUCGCAAGUCAAAAGAGAACUUUGGGGAGUGGUUUCGGCUAUGAAAGCUGAAAAGGACUAUUUGAUUGGGGCAGUAGUAGUAAUUGAAACUGAUUGCUUGCCAUUGCUUGGAAUGAUUAUUUACUGUUCAACGCCAGAUAUUGCAAUGUUGAGAUGGAUUGCUUAUAUUAAGUCACUAAAUCCAGAAUUUAAGCAUAUCACUGGAAAGGACAAUUUAGUAGCAGACAUGCUAUCUCGAGCAAGAUACGAGAGGGAGGACGAAAUGGUUGAAGACAUUGAUGAUGUCGAAUUGAAAUUCUAUUCAGUAUCAAAUCUCAACAGAGAAGACAAGCUAUUUCUUGAAGAAUCUUAUGAAGGAGAAUUAUUGGAUAUUGGUCAUUAUUUGAAUACCUUGUCUAAGUAGGGGAAUUGGUCUACAGAAAAAUUCAAACAAAUAAGAAAAAAAGCAUAUGGAUUUUUACUUCGAGAUGGAUUCUUAUGGAAGAGACCGAAGAAAGGAAUUGGGAUGCCACAACGAGUGAUAGGCAAAAAGGAAGAAAGACUAAAAUUAUUAAAGGAGUUUCAUGAUAGUUUAUGGGCAGGGCAUAGAGGAAUCUGGACUACUUUUGCUAAACUCAAGGAACGAUAUUGGUGGAAAAAUAUGUAUCGAGAUGUGCUCUCAUUUGUAGAGUCAUGUGAAAUCUGUCAAUCGUAUUCUAAUAUCCAACAUCGAGAUGGUCUUCAUCCUACGUAUCCUCUGGCUAUUCAUUUUAAAUGGGUUGUUGAUUUGGUUAUUAUGCCGGUUGGGUUAUGGCAGAUGAGAUAUUUAGUUUUAGCUCGUGAAGAUUUAUCAAAUCAAGUAGAAGGAAGAGCAUUGAGGACAAAAUCUACAGAGGAGAUUUGUUGGUUUUUGCUUGAAGAUGUCAUUUGCCGUUACGGGUGCGUUGGAAAAAUCACUGCAGAUCGUGGAGAAUUAAAUGCACAAAAAGCUCGUAAGUUCUUUGAAAGAUGUGGAGUUAAACUAUCACUGACUAUUGCUUAUAAUCCGGAAGGGAAUGCGAAAAGCGAACGCGGUCACCCGCCGAUUGUGAAAGCAUUGGUUAAAGCUUGUAAUGGGAAAGUUAAAGAGUGGCCACGGCUUUUGGCAUUUGCAUUAUGGGCUGAUCGAACAACACAUAGUUCGGUGACAGGAUAUAUGCCAGUAGAACUUAUGAUAGGUCAAAAACCAAUUAUGCCAAUUGAAGAAAAGGUACUUACUUGGAGUAUGCUACCAUGGAAAGAUGGAUUAACAAGAGAAGAACUUCUGGCUAUUAAGAUUCGACAAUUGGAGCAAAGAACGGAAGAUGUCCAAAUAGCAUUGGAAAGGUUAAAAAGAGCAAGGUUACAAAACAAGGCGCGAUUCGAUAAGCAACAUCGAUUGAGACCAAAAGCAAUCGAGGAAGGUGACUGGGUACUUGUUUAUGACAAUAGUCUGGAUAAUCAACAUAGUACUUUGCGGAAAUUUUCAAAACGUUGGUUUGGACCAUAUGUUGUAAAAAUUGUUUAUGAUAAUGCGACUUACUCAUUACGGGAGUUAGAUGGUACAAAAUUGAAAAUACCAAUUGCAGGGAAGCGAGUAAAAAUAUUUAAAUGAAGGCACACAGAGAUGAAUAUGGAGGACCUUAAUGAAGGUACAGAGAUUCCGCAGCAAGAAGAUGAAAGUGAUUUGGAUAAUGAAGGUGACGAAGACGAACUGGACAAAGACGUAGGGGAUAUAUUCUGAAUCAAACAGCAAUUGGGUAAAUUGGUGCAUACCGGAGGAUGCAUAGGUUCAGAGGGGGUGGAUGUCGUGUUGUAACACAAGUAUACAGUGAAAAUAAAGAGAAAGGAGAAUUUUAUUAAUAUUCAGUUACCUCGAAUAUUGGGAGCAUCGACCAACUCCAGUACAAAUACUGAGUGGUCAGGUUCAGUCACUCCGUUACAGUCAGCCGGGGCAUACUGAAAUGCUCCAUUCGAUUCCAAUAACGAGAGUCAGCACGCAUCUUUCCCAAUAUAGGACCUGAAUUGGUCGGGCGACUCAAUGUGGUUCCGAUUACGGGGUUCGAUUCUGUUUCAGGCUGUCCUGUUUUCUGUGCCGUUUCAGGGAACGUUGUUUUCGGUAAAUGGAUUUCUUAAAGGUAAAAACAGAGGAAAAAGCUUGACGGCGAGAGCCAAUUUCGGAUCCAAGCUUGAGGUGGGAGCCAAUUCCGGAUCUAAGACGGAAGAUUGAAGAAAUUCAGAGGAUAAGGUUAGGGGGGAUAUAGUUUUGACGGGGGAGGUUUUUUUUCUUUCGGGGAAUCGGGGGAGGGGGAGGUAGUUUUCAAGCUUUUACAAGGUUAGUAGUUCGGUUUCAUUGGAGGUUUUUGAAGAUCAAGGGAAUUAGAGAGAGGAGCUUCAUGCUUCGGGUCGGGGAAGGAAAGACAUAGAAUUUGGAUUUUUCUUCUUCGUAGAGUUUUGAGAAGACUGAGGCAAUCGCUGCUGAAGUCAGUGUUGUAAUGGUGAAUCGGGAUUUUUAAAUGAAGUGGGUUUGAAUACUCUUGACUGUUUUGUAAAAAUCGAGUUACGUUUGUGAUUGAAGGAUUAAAGGGGUGUCUAUAGGAUUGAGUAUGCGGAGUGAAUGAAAUUUAUUGGGUUAAUCUAACAGGACAGUCAGUGGAUACAAGAUCGUAAGUACAAAGGAGUAUUGAAGAUUAACAGUUUGGGUUGUUCGGGGUUCUCUGUAACCUCUAGAGACCUAUCGGCUGGGGCAAAAAAAAAAAGACUUCGACAAGUAGUCGAAGAACAUUCGUAUAGAUUUACGGUACAUUGUUACAGUCAUUUAUAUUCCAGCAGUCAAAAACUGAUAGACUGCUUGACUAUCGGCAAAUCUCCAUACUACCUUCUACAGCCAGACGCCCGGCGCGUUCUCGAGCAGGAAAGCACGUAAUACGACACCGUUAGUACGGAUGGUACUUGGUUUGAUGACGUCGAUCGAACAUAUGUUGUUGUCACAUUCGGUGGUACAUUGUCAAGGACUAGAACUCGAUAAAAAGAAAUUCAGACAAGUGAGCCUUUACUUGAAGAAAGGUAACAAAAUCUAAAUAAAAAAAGUAUGUAUAUUGAAAGAGAAACUGGAAUGGCUAUUGCUAAAGGACAAGAAAACUAAAGACCCUUGAAACUAGACUAGAGCAAGAAAGGAAUUGACAAGAGUGAAGAGGGCUUCACUCUUGUCUCUAUAUAUACUAUCUAACAAGGGGCUAUGUAACAACGUUCUAUAGGACCUCUAAUAUGUCUUGACUUUGUGGGACACAUGCCUUGACUUACAAGGCAAGUUUUUCUAUGUGAAGGCCACAUAAUUAGUUUGAUCUUCAAACUAACAACAUGUGUGGCACAUGGCCAACUUGUUGACCAUGUUUCUAAUCCAAAAAGUCAAUUAAAGACACCUAUGAAGUCAAAGUAGCAUCUAUAACGCUUCUAGGAAGCUUCCAUAUUAAAUACUAUAGAAUUAACUUAUUUUUACUUGAUUUUACUUACUUCCACCUAUUUGUAUAUGUAAUUACUAGCUUAUAUGAGUAUGUCUGUGACAUUACCCCACCUUCUAGGGAUGAGUUCCACGAGGAGCGGUCAUCAUAUGUUGAGGAAAUCUAUGAUGUGUCGAAUUGUAUUCGCCACAUACUCUGAUCUUUGUUCUCUUUAAAGAUGAUUGAUAGGGCCUCUCAACCAUUGGUAGUGUCCCAUACCAGAGCAGGAAGACCACCCAGUUAUUUGAUCAUUGUUGAGGCUUUCAUAAUUUUCUUCAAAUAGAAUAUUUGAAACACCAUCAGGAGUUUUUUUUUACCUCUAGCAAAAUCACCAAACAUCGGGAGUCCCUUCCCAAAUCGUGAUAUCAAACGCGUUGUAUCUCGCCAUCUAUUCGAGGAAGAACAUAUCGUUCUUGAAGAUCUUCAUCUCGAUUGUAUCGUCUUGAAGGUUAUGAUAAUCGUAAUAUCUCAUCUGGCAGGUCAGCAAACAAAGGCUCUUGAGUCGAAUCCAUUGGUUGUUGGUUUUCAAUCUCCUGAGCGUCACAACUACAAAGAAGCUACAAACAAGGAUUGAAAAUAGAAUGUUAUCUUGCCUAGAUGUUAUUUCUUUUAUAAAGAAGGUUUUCAUCUUGAUUUUGAUGGAUGUCAUCGAUGAAAAGCCUCCACCGCCUUUGCUGCAUUUAUAAAAUUAUUUAUUUGCUCCCAUGUGCAUUCACUAAUAUCAUAUCCGCACCAAUGGACAAGAUAUUCUAGAUUAUUUCGGCGUCGCCUUGAAUCUAAGACUUCUUCUACUUCAAACUCUUUAUUAUUGUCCACUUCUAUAGGAGGAGAUGGAGCUUGUUGUCUUCUUGGUAUAUCCACUGUCUUGUAUGCUUCAAGAAGAGACAUGUGGAAUAUUAGAUGGAUUUUUAUUGACUCCGGUAGAUGUAAACGAUAUGCAACUGAAUUGAUUUGUGUAAAAAUAGAAAAUGGUCCAAGUCUUUGACAGUCCAACUUGUCACAAGGAUGAGUGGUCUUGAUAUUGUGAUGAAGUAGCCAUACCUUAUCAGCCAAGAGGAAUGGAGGUUGUUCCUUUUGAUAGACAUCCGCAUUGGCCUUUUGUUGUUCUUGAGCCUCUUUUAAUUGCGCCUUCAUCGUUGCAUGUAGCUCUGACAAAUGAAUCGCCAUAUCUUUUGCAGCAGGAUUAUCAACUUUUAAAAAGUCAAAAGUAUCAAGUUGUGGAUGAUAACCAUAACUAGUAAAGAAAGGUGUUUGUUUUGUAGAAGAAUGUACCAUGUUAUUGUAAGCAAACUCUGCCAAUGGUAAAAGAGUUGUUCAAUCAUCUUGUUGGUAAUUAAUGGUACAUCUUAAAUAUUGCUCCAAAACUUGAUUAACACGCUCCGUUUGUCCAUGAGUUUGGGGAUGGAAUACCGAAGAUAGUUUUAUAUCCACUUUAAGAAUCUUGAAAAGAGUCCGCCAAAAUCUUGAUACAAAUUGAGUUCCCCUAUUUGAUAUAAUAUCCUUAGAUAAUCCAUGAUAGCGAUAGAUAUUGUCAAGAAAGAGCUUAGCUGUUUCUUCACCUGUGAUAGAUUUUGUACGUGGUACAAAAUGUGCCAUCUUGAUAAAACGAUCUACUAUCACGAAUAUAGAAUCAUAAGAACUUGAGAUUGGAAGAUCCGUGAUGAAGUCCAUAGAAACAGAAGACCGUGGUUGUUCUGAAAUCGGUAACGACUGAAGAAGUCCAAAAGGUCAAUGAUGAGGAGUUUUUGAUCUUAAGCAAACAUCACAUGAUUAUACAAAAUCUUUGACUGCCUUCCACAUUUGAGGCCACCAAAAAUCCCUAGAUAUCAGCUCCAAAGUCUUAUUAUAUCCAAAAUGUCCUACUGUUGGGAAGUUGUGAUGAGCUUGAAGAACACGUAAACAUGCUUCUCCUUUUGAAACAUGUAGGCAUCCUUUGAAAUAGAGUAGGUUGUUCUUGAAUUCAAAUUUAGAGGGAUCAUGAGAUUUGAAAGAAUUAUUCUUGAUAUCAUGAAAAAGAGGGUCUGAAGCAUACUUAACUGGACUUGCUUAAGAAAAGUUAAAUCAACAGUCAAUGUUGAUUUUAUUGCUCAAAGAUGAAAUUGCUCCGGCUUCAAGAGAACCGUUCUUUGUUGCUCAAAAGCUGCAUCUCCUUCUUUUUGUGCAAGAUAAAAAUGUUUAGACAAGGCAUCGGACAAACCUUGUUGUUUUUCUAAUUGAUAAGUGAUGAUGAAUUCGAAUCUUGAUAAAGAGAUGCUCCAACGAGCUUGACGACACUUUAAUAUGCGUGCUGACAUAAAAUACUUGGGGUUCUUGUGAUCCGUAUAUACGGUGACUGGAUUAGAAGCACCUUCUGGAUAAUGAUGCCAUUUUUGAAAUGAAUCCACGAUUGCAAGAAGUUCUUUGUCGUAGAUCUCAUAAUUGAUUUCUACUACUGAGAAUUUUCUUGAAUGAAAGGCUACUAGAUGAAGUUUGUCAUCUGUUCCCAUUUGUGAUAAAAUUGCACUCAGAGCAAAGUCUGAUGCAUCUGUUUCUAUAAAGAAUGCUUUGGAAAAAUCAACAUGAUACAAGAUUGGUACAGAAACAAACGCUAUCUUCAAAGAUUCAAAAGCAACUUCCGCUUCUUAAUUCCAUUAGAGUUUGUCUUUACAAGUCAAACGUGUUAGUGGAGCUGCAACUUGAGAGAAGUCUUUGAUGAAGAUCCGAUAGUAGUUGGCAAAUCCCAAAAAACAUUGGACAUCUCUUACCAUUUUUAGAAUCUUUGAAUCUAUAAUAGUUUGAACUUUCUUAGGAUCCAUCAUAAGACCAUCAUUUGAAAUGAUGUAACCUAAAAAAUUGACUUGAGUAGUGUGGAAUACACACUUUUCUAUCUUAACAUAGAGUCUUGCAUUUUUAAAUUUUUGUAAUACAUGACGAACAUGAAGUUCAUGUUCUUCUCAAUUCUUAGAAUAGAUGUCGUCUAAAUAAAAGACCACAAAAUCAUCCAAAAACUCUCGAAAAACAUCAUUCAUUAGAUGUUGAAAAGCUGCUGGUGCAUUUGUAAGUCUAAAAGGCAUGACAUUGUCAUAUUUCGUGCUUUCCUGCUCGAGAACGCGCCGGACGUCUGAUUGUAGAAGGUAGUAUGGAGAUUCGCUAAUAUUCAAGCAGUCUAUCGGUUUUUGACUAUUAAAAUAUAAACAACUGCAAGAAUAUAUCGUAAAUCUAUACGGAUGUCCUUCGACUUUUUGCCGAAAUCCUUUUAACUCCAGCCGGUAGGUCUCUAGACAUUACAAAGAACCCUGAACAACCCAAUCUGCUAAUCUCCGAUGCCGCUUUAUACUCACGACCUUGUAUCCACUGACUGUCUUGUUAGAUUAACCCAAUAAAUUCCAUUCACUCCGCAUACUCAAUCCUAUAGACCCCUCUUAAUUCUUCAAUCAUAGACGUAACUUCGAUUUUACAAAACUAUCAAGAGUAAUCACACCCACUUCAUUAAAAUCCCGAUUCACCAAUACAACACUGACUUCAACAACGAAUGCCUCAGUCUUCCCAAAAUCCUAUAAAAAAAAUCCCAAUUCUCUGUCUUUUUUCUCUACCCUGAAGCAUGAAGCUCUCCUCCGAUCCCUUCUCCUCUCUUCAUUUCUUAACCUAUCCUCCCCUUUAACCCUAAUUCUCCUCUCUUUCAAACCCUAGCCUCUGAAUUUCUUCAAUCUUCCGUCUUGGAUCUGGAAUAAGCUCCGUCCUCAGAGCUUUCUCCUCCGUUUUUACCUUUAAGAGAUCCUUUUACCGAAAAGACGUUCUCAAAAUGGCACAAAGGAUGGAACAGCCUGAAAUGGAAUUUGAGCCCCAUAAUCGGGACCACAUUGAAUCACUCGACCAAUUCAGGUCUCAUAUUGGAGAAGAGGCCCGUAGUAAGACCUGGAUGUUCCCGCAAUUGGGUCAAAUUGGUCCUUCAUAUCAGAUUGGCUAAGAGGACCGUAGUAAGACCUGGAUUGGAUGUCUUGAAAUUGGAUCCAAUUGGCUCUUCGAAUCAGGCUCACCCGUUGUUGAAUUGGUCCUUUUCCUUCUUGCUGAUUUCCGUUAUUGGAAUCGAACGGAGCAUUUCAGUAUGCCUCGGCUGACUGUAACAGGGUAACUGAACCUGGCCUCUCAGUAUUUGCACUGAAAUUGGUCGGUUCUCUCAAUAUUCGAGGUAACUGAAUAUUAAUAAAAGUCCCCUUUCUUUAUAUUUUCUCGGUAUACUCGUAUUACAACACGACAUCCACCCCCUCUGAACUUGUGCAUCCUCCGAUAUGCACCAAUUUAUCCAAUUGCUAUUUGAUUUAGAAUAUAUUCUCUACGUUUUUGUCUAGUUCGUCUUCGUCACCUUCAUUAUCCAAAUCACUUUCAUCUUUUUGCUGCGGAAGCUCUAUACUUUUAUUAAGGUCUUUCAUAUUCAUCUCCGUGUGUCUUCGUUUAAAUAUUUUUACUCGCUUCCCUGCAAUUGGUAUUUUCAAUUUUAUACCAUCUAACUCCUGUAAUGAGUAAGUCGCAUUAUCAUGAACAGUUGUUACUACAUGUGGUCCAAACCAACGUUUUGAAAAUUUCUGCAAAGUACAAUGUUGAUUAUCCAGACUAUUGUCAUGAACAAGUACCCAGUCACCUUCUUCGAUUGCUUUUGGUCUUAAUCGAUAUUGCUUAUCGAAUCGCGCCUUGUUUUGUAACCUUGCUCUUUUUAACCUUCCCAAUGCUAUCUGGACAUCUUCCGUUCUUUGCUCCAAUUGUCGAAUCCUAAUAGCUAGAAGUUCUUCUCUUGUCAAUCCAUCUUCCCAUGGUAGCAUACUCCAAGUAAGUACCUUUUCUUCAAUCGAUAUAAUUGGUUUUCGACCUGUCAUAAGUUCUAUUGGCUUAUAUCCUGUCACUUAACUAUGUGUUGUUCGAUCAGCCCAUAAUGCAAAUGACAAAAGCUGUGGCCACUCUUUAACUUUCCCAUUACAAGCUUUAACUAAUGCUUUCACAAUUGGUCGGUGACUAAGUUCACUUUUUGCAUUCCCUUCCGGAUUAUAAGCAGUAGUCAGUGAUAGUUUAAUUCUACAUCUUUCAAAGAACUUACGAGCUUCUUGUGCAUUUAAUUCUCCACGAUCUGCAGUGAUUUUUUCUACGCAUCCAUAGCGGCAAAUGACAUCUUUAAGCAAAAACCUACAAAUCCCCUCUGUAGAUUUUGUCCUCAAUGCUCUUCCUUCUACUUGAUUUGAUAAAUCUUCACGAGCUAAAACUAAAUAUCUCAUCUCCCAUAACCCAAUUGGCAUAAUAACCAAAUCAACAACCAUUUAAAAUGAAUAGCCAGAGGAUACGUUGUCGUGUUGUAACACGAGUAUACUGGAAAAAUAUAAAGAAAAGGGACUUUUAUUAAUGUACAGUUACCUCGAAUAUUGGGAGCAACGACCAAUUCCAGUGCAAAUACUGAGAGGCCAGGGUCAGUCACCCCGUUACAGUUAGCCGGGGCAUACUGAAAUGCUCCAUUCGAUUUCAAUAACGGGAGUCAGCAGAAAGGAAAAGGAUCAAUUCAACGACGGGUGAACCUGGCCCGAAGAGCCAAUUGGAUCCAAUUUUAAGACCUCCAAUUCAAGUCUUACUACGGGCCUCUUACCCAAUAUGAGACCUAAAUUAGUCGGGCAAUCCAAUGCGGUCCAAUUGCGGGGACAUCCAAGUCUUACUACGGGCCUCUUAAGCAAUAUGAGACCUGAAUUGGUCGAGCGACUCAAUGUGGUCCCGAUUAUGGGGCUCCGAUUCCGUUUCAAGCUAUUCCGUCUUUUGUACUAUUCCGAGAACGUUCUUUCGGUAAGAGGAUCUCUUAAAGGUAAAAAUGGAAGAGAAAGCUUUGAUGGCGGGAGCCAAUUUUAGAUCCAAGACGAAAGAUUGAAGAAAUUCACAGGCUAGGGUUUGAAAGAGGGGAGAAUUAGGGUUGAAGGAGAGGAUAGGUUAAGAAAUGAAUGGUGAGAGAAUAAGUUUUUUAGAAGGGUCAGAGAGCUAGCUUCAUGCUUCGGAGCGGGGAAAAAAGACAGAGAAUUGGGGUUUUUUUUUCUUCAUAGGGUUUUGGGAAGAUUGAGGCAAUCAUUGCUGAAGUGAGUGCUGUAUUGGUGAAUCGGGGUUUUAAUGAAGUGGGUGUGAUAACUCUUGACUGUUUUAUGAAAUCAAAGUAACGUCUGUGAUGAAGAAUUAAAAGGGUGCCUACAGGAUUGAGUAUGCAGAGUGAAUGAAAUUUAUUGGGUUAAUCUAAUGAGACAAUCAGUGGAUACAAGAUCGUGAGUAUAAAGCGGUAUCGAAGAUUAGCAGUUUGGGUUGUUUGGGGUUCUCUGUAACGUCUAGAGACCUAUCGGCUGGAGUAAAAAGGAUUUCGGCUAGUAGUCGAAGGACAUCUGUAUAGAUUUAUGGUGUAUUCUUGUAGUUGUUUAUAUUCCAAGAGUCGAAAACUAAUAGACUGCUUGAAUAUUAGCGAAUCUCCAAACUACCUUCUACAACCAGACGCCCGGCGCGUUCUCGAGCAGAAAAGUACGUGAUAUGACAUAAAGUGGUGAAUCCGACGUGAAAGCUUCAGAUGGAAGGUAUUGGAUUUCGUUUGGUUUUAUUUUUAUUUUUAUGGAAAACGGAAAUAAAAAUUUUAAAGGAUCUUUGGGAGGAGUUUCUGGUGGGGAUUCUUCUAAAAGACAAGAUAUGCACAUGGAUCCAUUUAUUGUUAGUAUGUUUCAAGCCUUCUCAUUAUCAAUGUAGCAACAACAAAGCAAUGAUCAAAAGAAAGCUUUGGCAACCGAAGCAUUGCAAGCAGUGGUCAAUAAAAUUGAUCAAUUUGAUGGGAGGAAUAUUUCAAGGUAUUUAAGAUGUUAUAUUCAUGAAAUGGAAUUAAAUCGAGUUUUUGAGAAGAAAAUGGUUGAAUUAUUUGGACUUGCCAUGAUACCGGAGAUAAGAGACCAUAUUACAUCGAUUACGGAUCGUUAUCGGAAUUCAUGGGAGGUUUUUUCACAUGCAUUGAUAGACGAAUAUUUCUUGGAAGAUGCUGAUCGCGUUACUAAAAAGUUGUUUUUGGAAUGGAUUGAACGACCUAAUAAGAAUUUACAAGCAACAAAGCUACUAAAGGAAUUUGAGAAGCAGUCCUCUCAAUUAUCGAAGGUAGAAAAAUUGACAUUGGAGCCGAACAAAGUUGAUCUAUUUCUUCAAGCUGCUGAUGGAGAAUUGAAAGGGAAAUUAGAACUCCUUCUUGAAGAUAAAGAAGAAGAUGAAGGAUUGACAACAAAGUAGAAGAACUUUGAAGAUGGGAUGGGGUUGCUUACAAAAAGAGAAAGGAGGAAGGAUAAGAGUAAUAUUCCAAAAACAGUACAAGCAUCCAAAGCUCCAGUACGUACAACACCACCAACAAUGCCUACAGUUCAACCUUCGACAUCCUUAUCAAAGAAAGUAGAUAUGGGGAUGGAAGAAAUUAUAGGACGGAUGCGAGAUCUUCAAAUCAAAUUGGCAAGACUUGAAGAGAAUACUUCUAUAAAUAAUUCGAAGAAUGUUUCAAAACAAGCAUAUGUAUAAAGAUGCAUUUGGUGUGAUGAUGCUUCACAUACUAGAAAAUAUUGCAAUGAAUUUAAUAAUAUGAUACGGCAAGGAAUUAUUUGCUGGAAAGAUAGGAAGAUAGCAUUAAAAGAUAGGGAGGAUCUUCUUCAAACCAAUUUUGGCAAGGGAGGAAUGAAAGCAUUGGUUCAAGAUUACUUAAAAGAGCACGAAACAGCAGCACGAGAAAGUACAAGUUAUGGUGCUAGAGUAGAUGAUGACCUUGGUGGAAGUAUGAAAACUAAUGAGUUUUGGGCUUCUGCCAUUUCUACAAUGCAAGAAGGGAAAUUACCUCGAGAAGCAUUAUUGAGGAUUGCAGCUACAAUACGAGUUGCAACAUGUUAGGAGGAUCCUGUUGAUUCUCUUUCAAUUCAUGCAUAUAUUGCUAAGAGCCAACAUGAAGCUUUGAUGGAAGAAAAGAGAUGAGGAAAUUUUGAUGAUACGAGAGAAGGAAAUUCUUUUAAGAGGCAAACUCGAGGAGACAAGGAUCGGGAAGCAGCUUCAUAAGAAUUGCCUGUAAAGGAUACCUCAGCAUCAUUGGAAGAAAAAAUAACGGAGACAAAAGAUAAGGGCAAAUCAAUUGCUUAUAAGCUACUUUCUGACAUUGAAGCGGCAAUAAAUUUGAAAGGGGUGUUGGAAGAACGUAUAUUAAAUGGUAAGGUGGAAUUCACAUUGAAAGAAGUCUUGAGAAUUGCAAAGAAGGAGUUUGAUGAAGUUAUCAUUGACAGUAUUAAGCAAAAGAGGCAAUUAAUGGGCAAAACUGGAAUGAGUCAUGCUAUUGAUGCAAGAAUAUAUAAAGAUGAAGAAGAGGUUCAUAUUGGUUACAAGCAACCAACAAAUAAAAAGAAUGGGUUUAAUCAACGAGUACGUUUUGAAGAUUAUAGUGAUAAGAAAAUGAAAACUUUGAGCCGUUAUACUCGAAAGCAUUGGGCAAGGGCAACUACUGAGGUAUUGGUGAAAGUAGGAGAUAUAGAAGAACCAAUUGUUGCUUUAGUCGACCAUGGUUCUGAAAUAAAUCUCAUGUCUAAAGAUCUUUAUAAGAAGCAAAAAUGGCCAAUUGAUAUGGAACAUGGAUGGGCAAUACGAGUAGCUAAUAACACACGGGGCGAAUUAUAUAGAGCUUGUCUAGAUGUCAAAAUUCGGAUUGGGGAUGUUGUGACGGAGCAACAUUUCUUUGUUCAAGAUACAAUGUCUUAUCCAUUGGUUUUAGGACAACCUUAUAUUACGACAAUACAGAUGGAAACAAAAGUAUUUGACCAUGGUUCUGCUUAUGGAAGGCUACGUAGCAAAGAUGGGAGGAAAGCUAUACAGUUUCUAACAGUACCUCGUAACUAUGAACGGAGUUGAGAUAGGUUGAGGGAGAAACCAUUGCCAAAGAUUGUUGAAAGAUUUAAGGAUUUUGAGGAGGUACCACUUUAAAGCGAGAUUAUGGAGGUAAAAAAUAGAAGGUACUCUCGCGAGAUGAAGGUGCCUUUGAUGCGAGUUUUAUUGAUAUUUUGGAGAAUGGAAAUAUUAUGUAUAAGAAAGUUAAUGAUUUUAAAAGAAAAGAAAGAAAAAGUUUAUAUAAUAUUGAAGGAGAAUUAUGCAAGUUAGGUACGCAGCAAAAAAGAUAAAAGUGGUUUUGAUAAUGAAGGUGACAAAGACAAACUGGACAAAGAUGUAGAGAAUAUAUUUUAAAUCAAACAGGAAUUGGAUAAAUUUGGUGCAUACCGGAGGAUGCACAGGUUCAGAGGAGGUGAAUGUCGUAUUGUAACAUGAAUAUACUGGGAAAAUAUAAAGAAAGGAGACUUUUAUUAAUGUUCAGUUACCUCGAAUAUUGGGAGCGACGACCAAUCCCAGUGUAAAUAUUGAGAGGCCAGGGUCAGUCACCCCGUUACAGUCAACCAAGGCAUACUGAAAUGCUCCAUUCGAUUCCAAUAAUUGGAGUCUACAGAAAGGAAAAGGACUAAUUCAACGACGGCUGAACCUGGCUCGAAGAGCCAAUUGGAUCCAAUUUCCAGACAUCCAAUCCAGGUCUUACUACGGGCCUCUUAUCCAAUAUGAGACCUAAAUUGGUCGAGCAAUCCAAUGUGGUCCAAUUGUGGGAACAUCCAAGUCUUACUAUGGGCCUCUUAAUUAAUAUGAGACCUGAAUUGGUCGAGCGACUCAAUGUGGUCCCGAUUACGGGGCUCCGAUUCCAUUUCAAGUUGUUCCGUUCUUUGUGCUGUUCCAGGAACGUCCUUUCGGUAAAAGGAUCUCUUAAAGGUAAAAACAGAGGAGAAAGCUCUGAUGGCGGGAGCCAAUUUUGGAUCCAAGAUGGAAGAAUGAAGAAAUUCAGAGGCUAGGGUUUGAAAGAGGGGAGAAUUAGGGUUAAAGGAGAGGAUAGGUUAAGAAAUGAAAGGGGAGAGAAUAAGUUUUUUAGAAGGGUCAGAGAGCUAGCUUCAUGCUUCAGGGCAGGGAAAAAAAACAGAGAAUUGGGGUUUUUUUUUCUUCAUAGGGAUUUGGGAAGACUGAGGCAAUCGUUGCUGAAGUGAGUGCUGUAUUGGUGAAUCGGGGUUUUAAUGAAGUGGGUGUGAUUACUCUUGACUGUUUUAUGAAAUCGAAGUAACGUCUCUGAUGAAGAAUUAAAAGGGUGCCUAUAGGAUUGAGUAUGCGGAGUGAAUGAAAUUUAUUGGGUUAAUCUAACGAGACAGUCAGUGGAUACAAGAUCGUGAGUAUAAAGCGGUAUCGAAGAUUAGCAGUUUGGAUUGUUCGGGGUUCUCUGUAAUGUCUAGAGACCUACCGACUGGGAUAAAAAAGAUUUCGGUGAGCAGUCGAACAACAUUCGUAUAGAUUUACGAUAUAUUGUUGUAGUUAUUUAUAUUCCAACAGUCAAAAACCGAUAAACUGCUUGAAUAUUAGCAAAUCUCCAUACUACCUUCUACAGCUAGAUGCCCGGCGCGUUCUCGAGCAGAAAAGUACGUAAUACGACAACAUAAGAUGAAGACCAUCUCGAUGUCGGAUAUUAGAAUACGAUUGACAAAUUUCACAUGACUCUAAAAAUGAGAGCACAUCUCGAUACAUAUUUUCCUACCAAAAUCGUUCCUUGAGUUUAGCAAAAGUAGCCCAAAUUCCUCUAUGCACUGCCCAUAAACUAUCAUGGAACUUCUUAAUAAUUUUAGUUUUUCUUCCUUUUAGCCUAUCACUUGUUGUGGCAUCGCAAUUCCUUUCUUCGGUCUCUUCUAUAAGAAUCCAUCUCGAAGCAAAAAUCCAUAUGCUUUUUUUCUUAUUUGUUUGAUUUUUUUGUAAAUCGAUUUCCCUGCUUAGUCAAGGUUUUCAAGUGUAGAAUAAGUAGUUAUUUGCUGAUUUGUAGAUACUUAGUUUAUAGUGUAAACAGGGAUAGAUGACUGUUAGAAAGGUAGUUCAGUACUUAAAAUGGAUGAAUAGUUAGGAAAAGCAGUUUUCAUUAGAGAUGUAGCAGUUGGUAUCUUGUGGUAGGAUAAGGAGGAUGAGAGAGAAGAAGAAACCGCCAUUACUGUGAUAGUGUGAGCCGGGGUAAGCUUGGUGCUACCUCUUUUCUUUUGUUGUUAUGUUCUUUGAAAUAAGAGUAUUGAGAGUUUCUGAAUAUUGUGAAGUGAAUCAUGGAAUGAAAGUGUGAAUAGAAUUAUAUGUUAUUGAAUGAGAAGAAGAAAGAUUGAAUGCUGAAAUCUGAUUGUAGUUCAGCAGAGAGAAUGAAUCUGUGGUUGUGUGAAACACUGUAAUGUGAAUGGUAGUUUUGUGUGAAGAAUUCCAGUAAUUGGAAUGAGGGUAAUUGUGUGCUGAAGCUGUGAUGUUGAGGUAUUACAGUUGGAGAUUAUAAGAGUGAAGAUAUAUUGGUGGAAAUAACAGUUAUUGGUAUGACUGAAUUAUUGCAAGGAAGAGAGUGAUAAGGUGAAAGGAGAGAUUAUCGUUUUCCUAUGUGCUUAGACAAUGGAAAUAGUGACGAUACAUUGGAGGUAAUUAAUUGUGUGACCCUAACGUGAACGCUCAAGCAACUAGUCACUCUCCGUGUUCGAAUCCCCCUAUAUGGAUUUAUUCUGGGAAGUUUCUUCCAGAAUAAGUAAAACGAGAAAUCACAUUUUGGCGCCGCUGCCGGGGAGUGAUAAUAGCUUUGAGCGCUAGGAAUUAAUUACAAACGUGUGAGAAAAUGGGCAAUGGAAGACGAUUUUAGUAGUGUUUGAAGAAAGAUUAUGGUUAAUAAGAACGAGAGCAUUGCAUCGAGGAAAAUAAAUCAGUUGAGAAAAAGACAGGGAAGAGCGCAAGGAAGGAACUUGCGUAGAGAGGAGCAAGAACGUAAUCUUAAAAGGAAGCAUCGACAGAAUUGGAUUAAACCAUGGUUGCAAGCUUGUCGGUGCAUCCGAACAUAUCAAGAACCGGACAGACUGUUAAUUCUGCAGUCUUAUGUACCGUUAGAAAAACUGCCAAGAGCACUCGUGGGAAAUUUUGUCAACAUUCCAGUAGAAAUCUUGAGGCCGUUAAUUGAAAGAGAAGGAGGCAUAGAAGUAUUUGGUACUCCAUUGGGUAAUUUUCCAGUAGGAGGUACCGCUGAAACGAGCAAUAGGGGCUCUGCAGAUUGGCAUGAAUUGGUCGCCAAUAAAGGCAACUAUAUUGUAUUUCAAAAUCUGACGUUUUCACCUGCAAGUCAACCAAUAAAACUAUUUGGGAGAAAUAACAGUAAAUCAAGGACCGCUGAGAGCUCGGUAAUUAGAGUAAGAGAAAGCAGAGAUUAUUUUAAAACAAAUUUCAGAGGAACAAAAAAUUCAAUGGCGGCAGGAGGACCAGCCGUUCCGAUUGCAGUUCAAAUGGGUACCUUGGGCGAUCGUACGAUUAGCGUCGCACCAUUACCUAAUUUUCGUGGUUUGUCAAGUGCGGACCCAGAUCAACAUUUGUCUCAAUUCUUGACGGCAUGUGUAGCCAAUAAUGGAAGGAUAGAAGACAUUUGGCUGAGAUGGUUGCCAGCGACACUAAAAGACACAGCGUUCGAGUGGUAUAACCGCCAACCUGUAGGUUAAUUUAUUAAUUGGGAGGCAUUGAAAACGACAUUUUUAGCCCAUUUCCGACCAAUUGGUUUUGAAGAACAUCUUCGAGAAAGAUUAAUGAAUAGUAGAAUGGUACCAGGGGAAGCGGUACAGUCAUAUUAUGGUCGUGUAGCAGAUAUACUUUGGAAAUGGCUAAAUAACCAAAUGCCGGAAUCGUUUGUGUUGUCCAUAUAGGUUAAUGGAUUACACCCACCAGAAUUGAAGAUGUUUGUAAAGGAGGCCCAAUCAGCUACCAUUGCAGCAUCUCUUGAGCGAGCAAAAGUAUGGGAGGAAUGUCAUUAUGACCAGCACUUAACCGUUGGCGCCACGAUGAUUCCAUCGCAAGGCGGUUAUUGUCACGGACACAAAAUACAGACUUGAAAUCUAACAAGAAGUUCAAGAAGAAGUGGCAGAACUAGAUUAAACAGAUGAGUACAAGAACAACACCAGAAAGGUGAGCUAGAACUCCAAGAGAUGUGUUGUCGAGACUGAAGAACCCUUCAGCCUCGACUCCUAUAUAUACUACUGAAUAGGAAGCUUCUCGAGCUACUUCCGCUAACUAGGACGCUUCUCCAACAACUUCUACUAAUUAGGAAACUUCUCGAGCAACUUCCUAGAAUCUAUCAGUAUAUUCUAGAACCUUCUAAGAAUAUUCUAGAACCUUCUAUGAGAAUCUUUAGGGAAUAUUCUAAGAAUUUUCUAGAACCUUCUAAAGGAAUCUUUAGAGAAUCUUUAGAGAAUAUUCUAGAAGAAUAUUCGAAGAAUCUUUUAAUGUAUGUCCAUGACAUCACCUCCUCUUCUAACUUCGAGGUCUCCGAGAAGCAAUGUUGUUAUCAAUCAAUACCAACGCAAAAAAAUGAAAAUCUGUCGCAUCACAUCCGCUAUGAAUUCCAAUUGUUGUUCGCGAGGCAAAUGAUUCAUCGGCCCUUGGAGCCAACGGUAGUGACCAACACCUUCAACCUCUGACCAAGCGUGGACUUCUGUGUCUUCAUUGUGAAACUGUCCUCCAAACACACCUUCUGGCUGACAGUCGUAGGCAGGCUCGACCUCAAAUACAAUUACUAGCGAUCUGUUGCUCGGUAUCCUCCGACGUCGUCGUGGUGCAGGCGGUUCUUCAUCUCGCGGUCGUCUUCGUGAGCUAGUCGCUUGAGAUGACAUAACAAGUGUAGUAUCUUGACUAUCUAUGUCCAAAGGCUAAAAUGAUGAGAGCAAACUAUAGUUGCUAGCAAAAUUCUACACUAUCGAACUAUGGGUUUUGGAGGUGCCCUCCCCCCUUUUUAUGCUACUUGAUGAGCAAGCUUCAGCAAGAAGCUAUCGUUGAAUCGGCUUAGGUUUAUGAGGAUAUCGUUGAUGAAAUUCUUGUACCUUUUUUGGUGCAUUGGCAAGAUUUUCGACACGCUCCCACGUUCGUUCAUUGAUGUCGUAUCCACUCCAAUGCACUAAAUACUCCAAUUUUCUCCUAUUACACCGUGAAUCUAGUACCUUUUCUACCUCGUAUUCCUCAUGGUUUUCAAUUUCGAUACUUGGUGGCGGACUUUGUACUCUUUGGGAAAAAGCUGACUCUCGAUAAGGUUCCAAUAAAGACACAUGAAAGACUGGAUGUACCUUCAUAGUAGCUGGUAACUCCAGACGAUAUGCCACCGGAUUGAUCUGCUUCCCGAUAACAAAUGGCCCUAAUCUCCGAUAGUCCAAUUUGUCACAUGGCCGCUUGGUCUUGAUAUUCCGUCGAAGAAGCCAUACUUUACUUCCAACUUUAAAAGUAGGCGCCUCAUUUCGAUAUUUAUCUGCAGAUGCCUUGUAACUCUCUUGGGCAGAUUGCAAUUGAAGCUUCAACGUUGCUUGAAGCUCCGAUAGUUGCUUCACAAAUCCUUCAGCUGCUGGGUUGUUAUUUGCUGAAGAACUCAAUAAAUCAAGCUUGAGGUGGUAUCUGUAGUUGGAGAAGAAUGGUGUUUGUUGAGUUGACGCAUGAAGAGUGUUGUUGUAUGCAAACUCAGCAAGCGGUAGAUAUGCAGUCCAAUCAUCUUGUUGAUAGAUGAUGCUGCAUCGUAAAUAUUGCUCCAAAACUUGAUUCACCCGCUCCGUUUGACCGUCAGUUUGAGGAUGAAAAGCCGAAGAGAGCUUAAUAUCCACCUUCAAUAUCUCAAAGAGAGACCUCCAAAACUUGGAUACAAACUGAGUACCUCGAUCCGACACGAUAUCAUCUGGUAGGCCAUGAUAACGAUAUAUGUUAUCAAGAAAGAGUCUUGCGGUGUCUUCACUUGACGAUGUUUUCUUGCAAGGCACGAAAUGCACCAUCUUUGUAAAUCGAUCCACCACAACAAAGAUGCUGUCAAAUGAAUUCGAUGGCGGUAGGUCCGUAAUGAAGUCCAUAGAAACUGAAGACCAUGGUCGGUGCGGAAUAGGCAAUGGCUGGAGAAGUCCAUACGGACGAUGUCGAGGGAUCUUGGAUCUUGAACAAACAUCACAAGAAAGGACAAAUUCCUUCACAUCCUUCCACAUUUGGGGCCACCAAAAAUCUCGUGAAAUGAGCUCCAAAGUCUUGUUGAAUCCAAAAUGUCCCGCAACUGGAAAGUCGUGGCGAGAUUGAAGUACUCGGAGUCGAGUUGGUCCUUUCGGGAUAUAUAACCGCUCCUCAAAAUACAGAAGAUCUCCCUCCACCUUAAACUUGUCAUUAUCGACACGUUGUUUGAUGUCAAGAGCUAUAGAAUCCUCAAUGGUCGUAGUACGUACCUUACUGAGGAAGCCGUCAUCGAUAGUUGCAACAGUAGCAAAAAUCCUGAAUUUUUCUGGUUUCAACAAUGUUGUACAUUGUUGAUCAAACGCUGCUUCUCCAGCCUUGGCGCAAGAUUCGAUCUCCUCGAUAAUACAUCAGAUAAUCCUUGCUGUUUUCCAGGGCGGUAGGUGAUAAUAAAGUCAAAUCGUGAUAGAGACAUAUUCCAUCGAGCUUGACGACGAUUCAAAAUUCGAGCUGUCAUGAAGUACUCCAAAUUCUUGUGGUCCGUAUAAACAGUCACUGGAUGUGCAGCUCCUUCGAGGAAGUGACGCCACUCUUGGAAGGCAUCCACUAUAGCAAGCAGCUCUUUGUCGUGGAUCUCGUAGUUGAUCUCAGCAGUAGAGAACUUCCGUGAAUAGAAUGCAACUAGGUGAAGCUUCUUGUCUAUGCCCAUCUGUGAAAGCACAGCUCCCAAAGCAAAAUCUGAAGCAUCGGUCUCUAAAUAGAAAGCCUUUGCAAAGUUAGGGUGUACCAAGAUUGGAGCCGUAGUGAAUGCCGUCUUGAGAUCUUGAAAUGCUUUUGCUGCUUGUGAUCCCCAUUCGAGCUUGAUUUUGCUUGUUAGACGCGUGAGUGGUGCAGCAACUUGAGAAUAAUUCUUGAUGAAGAUCCGAUAGAAGUUAGCAAAUCCAAGAAAACACUGAACAUCUCUAACCGUCUUCGAAACUUCCCAAGAUAUAAUUGCUUCUACCUUUUUUGGAUCCAUCUUCAAGCCCUUUGUAGUCGCAAUGAAGCCCAAAAAUUCCAUCUCAUUCUGGUGAAAUUGACACUUCUCCAAUUUGGCGUAGAGUCCUUGUUCGCGUAGUUUUUCAAGAAUCAAACAAACGUGCUUCUCAUGUUCUUCUUCAUUCUUGGAAAAUAUCAAAAUAUCAUCCAGAUAGAUGACAACAAAGUCAUCGAGGUACUCCCGAAAGAUGUCGUUCAUCAUAUGUUGAAAGACCGCUGGAGCAUUGGUAAGACCAAAAGGCAUGACAUUGUACUCAAAAUGGCCAUACCUUGUACAAAAGGCUGUCUUCCAUUCAUCUCCUUCUUUGAUUCGCACAAGGUUGUAGGCUCCUCUUAAAUCAAUCUUUGUAAAAAUCCUUGUACGUCCAAGUUGAUCUAAGAGGCCGGAGAUCAAAGGUAAGGGAUAGCGAUUUUUCGUUGUCACCUUGUUGAGUCCUCGGUAGUCCACGCACAUCCGCAGUGAGCCAUCCUUUUUCUUCACGAAUAGGAUUGGUGCUCCAGCUGGCGACUUUGAAUGUCGAAUAAAAUUCUUGGCUAGAUUCUCAUCGAUGUACUUCCGCAAUUCUGCCAACUCCGUCUGCGAUAGGUUGUAUAUUGGAACAAAAGGUGGUUGCGCUCCUUCCUCUAAGUCUAUGGCGCAAUCAUAUGGUCGAUGUUCUGGCAGUAUAUUGGCGUUCUUCUUCUGAAACACGUCUUCAAAAUCCCUAUAUUGCUCUGGUAUAUUCGAUGUUGAGAUAUUCUCGCCGCUAGUUGGAGCUGCAUAAAUGACAAAUGGUGCGCCUUCCUUGGACGAUCUUAGGAACGCUCUCGCUCCAAUAAACAUGGAUUUCUUCAUGUAGGUUCUACCAACAGGUUUAUUAUUAUUUUUUUCAGGAAAUGUUAUCCUUCGUAGCCUCCAAUCAAUGGACGGAUUAUGAUCUUCUAACCAAGAAAGACCAAGGAUAACAGGGCUUGAUGGGGUUCUAAUAAUAUUAAAAAUAACGUGACUACUAUGGUCCUUAAACACCACUUCUAUAGGUUCUGAUUCGUGGAUAACGUUGCCUGACAAUAAAGGUCGUCCAUCUAUCACUUCUACGUGAACAGGUUUGGACUUCUGUACUAAACGGAUCUAAUGGCGUUUAGCAAACUCUUCAUUUAAAAAACAAGUAGAUGCCCCCGAAUCCAAUAAAGCUAAAGUUUUUUUGUUUUUGAGGGCCUAAAAAUAAAGGAAUUAUAAAACAACGGGCAGGUUGGACAAAGAAGGAGGAACCUGAUUGUUGUCGUGAUAUUAGAUUGUCCAGCCGCACGGUUCCUACUGUGGCUGGGCGUCGUCGUUUUCCGGAAUCAUCGCACUUCUAGUCUUGACAGGGUGCCAAUUUUGUUUCUUUGGGCAAUUUCCAACCUUGUGACCUUCUUCUCCACAGUACAAACAUAACCCUUCCUCCAUACGCCGUUUCUUCUCUGUUGGAGUAAGAGAUCGGACACGCGUCGUGUCAAUUUACAUGUCUGUUGCCUCCGAAUGUGAGUUUAAGCUAUUUGCAGACAUAGUCACGUCGUAACGAGUCAUUUGGUGUCUUGGACGUUGGUCUUGGCGACGCUGGAAUAGGCGGUUGUCACACUUUAUAGCUUGGCUAAUAGCUUCGUUGAGCGUUUGAGGAUCAGGAAGAGAUAACAGUAAGUCCUUCAUAUCAUCCUUCAAGCCCCAAUAAAAUUGACUCACCAACGCCUCUUCACCCCAAUUAAUGUCACUUGCCAAUUGUCUAAAAUCCGAGGCAUAGACUGAUGCAGAGCGUGUUCCUUGUCGUAGCGAUCGGAUCUUUGUUGUAGCCCAUCGAACUUUAUCAUGCUCGCCAAAUGCUUCUGCAAACGCCUCCAAGAACAUUUCAAAGUUGCUCAGGAUUGGCGAUCGCUUCUCGAACAAGGGAGUAAACCAAGACAGAGCUUGUGCUGUAAGCAAGGUUCCAACAAGCCCAACACGCGCUUCCUCCGUCGGAUAAGGUUCGGGCUGUAAAAUUGUUAUCAACCUGAUUUGGUUGACAAAACCUCGAAACUUGGAACGAGUUCUAUCAAACUUAUCCGGAAGACUAACUCGAGGCUCCUUUCGUUGUAGGACUACUCGAUCUUGUUGAAAUGGAGGUAGAACUACUUCUUCUGGCGAAGAAGUUUGAGGCUGAUAUGCUUUAGAUGGCGCUAUCCCAGAUGCUCCAUUGUUAUGGAGUCCUACCAUGACUCCUUCGAUCUCUGUUGUCCUAUGCGACAACGAGGCAAGAGCAUUUAUGAUGGCGUCUAGUUUGGAUUCCAAACUUUCAGCCAUUUUAACGUCUUAACCUUCGGCUAACCUUCAGAAAGAAGAAAAAAGAGUUUUGACAAGAGGACAAUAUUGGUUCAGAGGAGAGUACUCCGCAACCUCUAAAACGCCUUAAGACUCCAAGAUGAGGGGUAAUCCACUCUCUCCAAGAAGAAUAAGGCUCCAAUAUUGAGAAAGAAGAGAUAUCAGUUUAGAGGAGGGUAAUCCGCAACCUCUAAAACACUAGCACACCUUCAAGAAGAGGGGUAAUCCACUCUCUAACAAGAAGGAACUAGCUCUGAUACCAGUGAAAAUGCAGUCUCGACAAACUGUCACGGACACAAAAUACAGACUUAAAAUCUAACACGAAAUUCAAGAAGAAGUGGCAGAACUAGAUUAAACAGAUGAGUACAAGAACAACACCAGAAAGGUGAGUUAGAACUCCAAGAGAUGUGUUGUCGAGACUGAAGAACCCUUCAGCCUCGACUCCUAUAUAUACUACUGAAUAGGAAGCUUCUCGAGCUACUUCCGCUAACUAGGAUGCUUCUCCAACUUCUACUAAUUAGGAAACUUCUCGAGCAACUUCCUAGAAUUUAUCAGAAUAUUCUAGAACCUUCUAAGAGAAUCUUUAGGGAAUAUUCUAAGAAUUUUCUAGAACCUUCUAAAGGAAUCUUUAGAGAAUCUUUAGAGAAUAUUCAAGAAGAAUAUUCGAAGAAUCUUCCAAUGUAUGUCCAUGACAGUUAUCAAAUGAUAAAUUGGAAUGAUGCAUCGAAAAGUUAUCCGGGAAGGAGUGAUUAUGGUACAAUUCCACAGGGAAUAGUGAAUGCCGUUCCAUUGCACGUUGUACUACCAUCAUCGUCACAACCGUAUGUGCCUUAUUCCACGUAUCAAAAACCAAUACCUACGAAGGAAUUGACCAAUGAAUUGGUAUCAAGGGAUCCCAAUGAGUCAUUGCUGUUAACAUUAACGAAGAAAAUGGAUGAAUUGGCUAUAAAUCUAGCCAAGGAUAAAGAGAAAAGGCAUAAACCGACCAAUAUGCGACCCAAUGUUUGGUGUAGCAAUUGUAAGGGACAAGGUCAUUUGGUAACCGAAUGUUCUUCACCACCCCAAAUGAUGGUUCAAUGUACCUUUUGUGGGGGUAAGCAUACCACUGCCAAUUGUUGGAACUUAAGGAAACAACAACAAGUCGGACAACAGACCAUGAGUCAACCAACUUUGGGGGAUGUAAAUCAAGUACAAACGAAUAAUAGGUUCGGCUGAAAUGGAAAUCGAGCGAAUAGACAAAACAGGAAUUAUUCUAAUUUCCAAAACUCUGAAUUUCACCAAGAAGGUAUAUCCAAUACCCAUGGCUUGGGGGUGAAUCAGCAAGGAUAUCAUCAAUAUUCACCCAUGCAGAAGCCAAUGCCAGAAUCUACAGUACCAAUGGGUCAACCAGGAUCCUUUACUCAACCGAUAUGGAAUAGACCGAGCCGUUAUAUACCAGUAGAGACACCCAAUAUCCCUGAAGAAGUUGACAGAAGACCACUUCGUUGCUAUCAGUGCAGACAAAUCGGACAUUAUGCAAGUGAAUGUCCUAAUCCAAGAGCAAGUGAUGAUUAUGCCCCAAUAUGUGGAAAUUGUAAGCAGUCUGGUCAUACUUAUCAGCAGUGCAAUGUGGCUUUUAAUUAUAAUAAUCGGGACCAGCAGAUGCAAAUAAGCCAACCAAUGUCGUAUUACGUGCUUUCCUGCUCGAGAAUGUGCCAGGCGUCUGGCUGUAGAAGGUAGUAUGGAGAUUUGUCGAUAGUCAAGCAGUCUAUCAGUUUUGACUGCUGGAAUAUAAACGACUGCAACAAUGUACCGUAAAUCUAUACGAAUGCUCUUCGACUGCUUCUCAAAGUCCUUUUUGCCCCAGCCGGUAGGUCUCUAGACGUUACAGAGAACCCCGAACAAUCCAAACUGUUAAUCUUCAAUACCACUUUGUACUUACGAUCUUGUAUCCGCUGACUGUCUUAUUAGAUUAACCCAAUAAAUUUCAUUCACUCCGUAUAGUCAAUACUAUAGACGCCCUUUUAAUCCUUCAAUCACAGACGUAACUCGAUUUCACAAAACAGUCAAGAGUAUUCAAACCCACUUCAUUAAAAAUCCCGAUUCACCAUUACAAUACUGACUUCAGCAGCGAUUGCCUCAGCCUUCCCAAAACUCUACGAAGAAGAAAAAUCCAAAUUCUCUGUCUUUUCUUCCCGGACCCGAAGCAUGAAGCUCCUCUCUCUAAUCUCCUUGAUCUCCAAAAACCUCCAAUGAAAACCGAACUAAUAACCUUGCAAAAGCUUGAAAACUCGCUCCCCCUGAUUCCUCCAAAAAAAAAAAAUCCCCUUUUCAAAACUAUAUCCCCCCCUAACCUUAUCCUCUGAAUUUCUUCAAUCUUCCAUCUUAGAUCCGGAAUUGGCUCCCAUCGUCAAGCUUGGAUCCAAAAUUGGCUCUCGCCAUCAGAGCUUUGUCCUCCAUUUUUACCUUUAAGAAAUCCAUUUACCGAAAAUAACGUUCCCUGAAACGGCACAGAGAACAGGACAACCCGAAACAGAAUCGAAACCCCGUAAUCGGGACUACAUUGAGUCGCCCGACCAAUUCAGGUCUCAUAUUGGAUAAGAGUCCAGUAGUAACCUGGAAGUUCCCGUAAUUGGGUCAAAUUGGUCCUCGCAUCGGAUUGGCUAAGACUCGUAGUAAGACCUGGAUUUCUCGUAAUUACGUUGACCGGCCAAUUCAGGUCUCAUAUUGGAUAAGAGGACCCGGAUUGGAUUCUCGAAAUUGGAUCCAAUUGGCUCUUUGAACCCGUCGUGUGAAUUGAUCCUUCUCUUCCUACUGACUCCCGUUAUUGGAAUCAAACGGAGCAUUUCAGUAUGCCCCGGCUGAUUGUAACGGAGUGACUGAACCUGACCACUCAGAAUUUGCACUGGAGUUGGUCGAUGCUCCCAAUAUUUGAGGUAACUGAAUAUUAAUAAAAUUCCCCUUUCUUUUUAUUUUCACUGUAUACUUAUGUUACAACACGACAACGUCUGCUUCCUCCAAUCUUGAUAUACCCGCCCCCGGGUUUAUGUGUAAUACAGGCGUAGUCAGUUUCCAUUGAUACGGGUUGUGAAUUUGGUUCCCGUGAAAUCUUCCAAUUAGACGGAACCAUUGGGAAAAACGGCCAAUAUGCGAUAGGGUCCAUGCCACCGAAUUUGAAAAUUUCUCGGAAAAUUGUGAAAACGGCUGUCGUACAGCAGGACAAGAUCAUUGGGCAUAAAUGAUUUUGUGUGGAGUUUACUAUCGUAAUAACUCUUCCGGCGGCGCUGAAUAGCUUCCAUGGUCAUCAAAGCCGAAGCCCUAAUCUCGUCCAAUUUUUCCAAUUCUAUUAACCGAUAUUGGAGAGAUUCUUUGUUUCCCAACCGUUCUUCCAAUGCAAUUCUUAAACUGGGAACCUCCAAUUCUAUUGGUAAGAUGGCUUCCUGCCCGUAUACCAAUUGAAAAGGUGUGGAAUUGGUCGUUACUUUAUACGCAAUUUGAUAUGCCCACAAUGUUGCAAAUAAUUUAGUAUCCCUGUCGGUUCCCGCUCCUGAAAUAGUCUUUGUUAAGAUUUUACAAAGGAUACCAUUGGUCUUUUUGGUCUAUCCAUUGGCACGUGGAUGAUAAGGGGUAGUUUUUCGAUGUUUGAUCUCAUACUUCGUUGUCAAUGCUUCAAUGGUUGCAUUAAUAAAAUGGGUUCCUUGAUCACUAACCAAUUCUUUCGGACAACCAAAACGAGUGAUAAUGUUCUCAUAUAAAAAUAUUGCUACUGUAGUGGCAUUAUUAGUUUUUGUUGCCGUAGCCUCCGCCCAUUUGAUGACAUAAUCAGUGGCUACUAAAAUAUAACGUUUCUGUCCAUUCCGAGAAGCAAGUGCAAUUGGUUCGACGAAAUCAAUACCCCAUUUUUUGAAUGGUGCCUGCUCCAAAACUGGUACCAAGGGCAUGGCAGAAGUUCCAGUAGGUCGACCAAUUCGUUGACAAGGGUCACAACGACGAACAUAUUUGUGAGCAUCCGAAAACAUUGUUGGCCACCAAUAACCAGCCAUUAAAGCUUUACGUGCGGUGCUAUCACCCGCAAAAUGUCCUCCACAGCUAUCCAAAUGACAUCCUUCCAAUAUGGUACACACUUCACUUGGAAAUAUGCAACGUCGUAAAAUACCAUCCCGUCCUUGUUUGUAUAAUGCGGCUCCAAUCAUGGUAUACGGCGCACUUCUUAUAAUCAAACGCUUCUUUAAAUUUUCAUUAUAAGAAAUUGGAAAAGUCUGAAAUGUGAGAUAUUGGAUCAGGUCACUAUAUUCGGGUGUAAUAACCUCCACAGUGAAUAAUUGUGCAUCCGGAAGGGCGUCGUUUAUCGGCUCAUUACCCAGUAUAUUCGAUAAACGAGACAAGUGAUCUGCAUUACCAUGUGUCUUGCCAGGGCGAACAUUAAUUGUAAAAUUGAAUUCCUGGAGAAGUAACACCCAACGAGCAAUUCGUCCGCUCAAUUGGGGAUAAUUUAAUCAACCUUCCUCAAUAUUGGAGGUGACAUCAAAAAUUUCUUCAAUCUUUGCAUUGCCUGAAUAUGCCUUUCUUCCCAUUCAAAUCGGUAACCCUUGCGUAACAGUUCAUAUAAUGGAUCCGCUAUGUGAGCAAAAUGAGGGAUCCAGAUUCGAUAAAAUACACUUGCACCCAAAAACCUGCGAACCUCUGUUAAAGAACCACAAUCCUCUUUCAUCCUUUCAAUUGCAUCAACUUUAGUCGGAUCUGAUUUUCUUCCGUAAGAUCUGCAUAAAUGUCCAACAAUUACAACCUCUCGCACUCCAAAUACGGACUUCAUACCCGAUAAUGUAAGAUGAACUUCUCCAAGUCGAGUUAAAAUCUUUUCACAAUCUUGUAUAUGAUCAACAACAUAUCUGCGACACCCCCUCGUAUCUAAAGUUUCAUCCUUGUCUCCUUCUUUGCACCCUUUUAUAGGAACAUCAUCCAGAAAAGGCAUAGUCUUUUUCGGAAUAAAAUCUCUCAAUACCUUAUUCAUCCCAUUCAUCAUAUGCGCAACUGAGUUGGUCGCGCCUUGAGGAAGAGUGCACAUUCUAACCAAUCCAAGCGGUGUCCUCAUCGUUGUCAUAUCUCUCCUUCCUUCGGCAAGUUGAAAUUGAUCAUAACCUGAAUACAAAUCACCCAUUGAAUAGAUCGCCCUUCCAGCAAACGCCUCAGCAAAUUCAUCCACAAUAGGUCCAAUUCCUGCAUUCCUGACAGUUAAAGCAUUCACCGGCUGCAUAUCUUGAAUAAACCGCAGUGACCCAUUCUUCUUAGGUACCGUAAACCAUCGACUAGAAUACGGCGCAAAUGAAGGUUCUAAUAUUUUCAUCUUUAUCUUUUCUUUCAAUAGUUCCACCAAUUUAGGUAAAUGUGCCCUCGGUACUGGAAUCGGUCUUAGAUUCUAAGGUACAUGCGAUACAGUGAAGAUAACCAUAGGUGUUAUAAUAUUUGGAUCCACACACCCAAUUUCAUGAGAUUCGAAGGCAAACGAUCUACCUUUUUUAGCCAACAUCUUUUUGAAGCAAGUAAUUUCCUCCGGCAAUAAAGAACCAUCAGAACCAAUCUUCAAUUCUUCAAAAGGCUCUUUAGUAAACUGAUGUCCAAUACUCAUUGGAUCUCUUAAACUUUCUUCUUUUGAUGCUUCUCCCAUUUGUUCUUUAGAAUCCUCUGGUAAUGGUCCGGCAACAGGCUUUACCUUCUUAUCUGCCGUUUUAUAUCUCGUCUCUACUGUGACUUCUGGUGCUUGAAAAGAUUCAAGCAUGGUAUAAACCUCUCUCAAAUGAAUCUCAACAAUCUUAUCAUUAUCCCCUAACCCAAUAGAUGUAAUCAAUUCCAAUGAAUCUUCCAGCCCAUUUUCUUCAUAAACACCCAAAAUCCUCUCAUCAUCUUGCAAUGUACCUAUCUUGCGUAAUUGUCCUUCAAUAUCAUAUAAUCUUUUUCUUUCUUUUCUUUUAAAAUCAUCAACUUUCUUAUACAUAAUAUUUCCAUUCUCCAAUAUACCAAUAAAACUCGCAUCAAAGGCACCUUCAUCUCGCGAGAGUACCUCCUCUUUUGUACCUCCAUAAUCUCGCUUUACAGUGGUACCUCCCCAAAAUCCUUAAAUCCUUCAACAAUCUUUGGCAAUGGUUUCUCCCUCAACCUAUCUCGAUUCUGUUCAUGGUUAGGAGGUACUGUUAGAAAUUGUACAGCUUUCCUUCCAUCUUCGCUCCGUACCCUUGCAUAAUCAGAACCAUCGUCAAGUACCUCUGUUUCCAUCUGUGUUGCCGUGAUAUAAGGUUGUCCUAAAAUCAACGGAUAAGACGUUGUAUCUUGAACGAAGAAAUGUUGCUCCGUCGCAACAUCCCCAAUCCGAAUUUUAACAUUUGGACAAGCUCCAUAUAAUUCGCCUCGUGUGUUAUUAGCUGCUCGUAUUACCCAUCCAUGUUCCAUAUCAAUUGGCCAUUUUUACUUCUUAUAAAGAUCUUUAGACAUGAGAUUUAUUUCAGAACCAUGGUCCACCAAAGCAACUAUUGGUUCUUCUAUAUCUCCUACCUUCACCAAUACCUCAGUAGUUGCCCUUGCCCAAUGCUUUCGAGUAUAAUGGCUCAAAGUUUCCAUUUCCUUGUCACUAAAAUCUUCGAAACAUAUUCGCUGAUUAUACCCAUUCUUUUCAUUUGUUGGUUGCUUGUAACGAAUAUCAACCUCUUCUUCAUCUCUACAUAUUCUUGCAUCAAUAGCAUGACUCAUUCCAGUUUCGCUCAUUAAUUGCCUCUUUCGCUUAAUGCUGUCAAUGAUAACAUCAUGAAACUCCUUCUUUGCAAUUCCCAAGACUUCUUUCAAUGUGAAUUCCACCUUAGCGUUUAAUAUACGUUCUUCCAACACCCCUUUCAAAUUUGUUGCCGCUUCAAUGUCAGAAAGUAGCUUAUAGGCAAUUGAUUUGCCCUUAUCUUUUGUCUCCGUUGUUUUUUCUCCCAAUGAUGCUGAGGUAUCCUUUACAGGCAAUUCUUGUGAAGCUGCCUCCCGAGCCUUGUCUCCUCGAGUUUGCCUCUUAAAAGAAUUUCCUUUUCUAGUAUCAUCAAAAUUUCCUCGUCUUUUUUCUUCUAUCAAAGCUUCAUGUUGGCUCUUAGCAAUAUAUGCAUGAACUGAAAGAGACUCAACAGGAUCCUCUCAACAUGUUCUUCCUCGUAUUGUAGCUGCAGUUCUCAAUAACGCUUCUUGAGGUAAUUUCCCUUCUUGCAUUGUAGAAACGGCAGAAGCCCAAAACUCACUAGUUUCCGUACUUCCACCAAUUUCAUCAUCUACUCUAGCACCAUAACUUGCACUUUCUCGUACUACUGUUUCAUGCUCUUUUAAGUAAUCUUGAACCAAUGCUCUCAUUCCUCCCUUGCCAAAAUUGGUUUGAAGAAGAUCCUCCCUAUCUUUCAAUGCUAUCUUCCCAUCUUUCCAGCAAAUAAUUCCUUGCCGUAUCAUAUUAUUAAAUUCAUUGCAAUCUUUUUUAGUGUGUGAAGCAUCAUCACACCAAAUGCAUCUUUGUACAUAUCCUUGUUUUGAAACAUUCUUCGAAUUGUUUAUAGAAGUAUUCUCUUCAAGUCUUGCCAAUUUGAUUUGAAGAUCUCGCAUUCCUCGUAUAAUUUCUUCCAUACCCAUAUCUGCUUUCUUUGACAAGGAUGUCGAAGGUUGAUUUGUAGGCAUUGUCGGUGGUGUUGUACGUACUGGAGCUUUGGGUGCUUGUACUGUUUUCGGAAUAUUGCUCCUAUCCUUCCUCCUUUCUUUUUUUGUAAGCAACCCCACCGCAUCUUCAACGUUCUUCCACUUCAUUGUCAAUCCUUCAUCUUCUUCUUUGUCUUCAAGAAGGAGUUCUAAUUUUCCUUGCAAUUCUCCAUCAGCAGCUUGAAGAAAUAGAUCAACUUUGUUCGGCUCCAAUGUCAAUUUUUCUACCUUCGAUAAUUGAGAGUACUGCCUUUCAAAUUCUCUUAGUAGCUCUGUUGCUUGCAAAUUCUUAUUGGGCCGUUCAAUCCAUCCCAGAAACAGCUUCUUAGUAACGCGAUCAACAUCUUCCAAGAAAUAUUCGUCUUUCAAUGCAUGUGAAAAAUCCUCCCAUGAAUUCCCACAAUGAUCCGUAAUCGAUGUAAUGUGGUCCCUUAUCUCCGAUAUUGUGGCAAGUCCAAAUAGUGCAACCAUUUUCUUCUCAGAAACCCGAUUUAAUUCCAUUUCACGAACAAAACAUCUUAAAUACCUUGAAAUAUUCCUUCUUUCAAAUUGAUCAAUUUUAUUGACCACUGCUUGCAAUGCUUUGGUUGCCAAAGCUUCUUUUCGAUCAUUGCUUUGUUGUUGCUGCAUUGACAAUGAGAAGGCUUGAAACAAACUAGCAAUAGACGGAUCCAUGUGCAUACCUUGUCCUUUAGAAGACUCCCCACCAGAAACUUCUCCCAAAAAUCCUUCAAAAUUUUUAUUUUCGUUUUCCAUAAAAAUAAAUAUAAAAUCAACCGAAAUCCAAUACCUUCUACCUCAAGCUUUUACGUCGAGUUCACCACAAAUACCGUAUUACGUGCUUUCCUGCUCGAGAACGCGCCGGGCGUCUGGCUGUAGAAGGUAGUAUGGAGAUUCGCCGAUAGUCAAGCAGUCUAUCAGUUUUUGACUGCUGGAAUAUAAACAACUGCAACAAUGUAUCGUAAAUCUAUACGGGUGCUCUUUGACUGCUUGUCGAAGUCCUUUUUGCCCCAGCCGGUAGGUCUCUAGACAUUACAGAGAACCCCGUACAACCCAAACUGUUAACCUUCAAUACUGCUUUGUACUUACGAUCUUGUAUCCACUGACUGUCUUGUUAGAUUAACCCAAUAAAUUUCAUUCACUCCGCAUACUCAAUCCUAUAGACACCCCUUUAAUCCUUCAAUCACAAACGUAACUCGAUUUUUACAAAACAGUCAAGAGUAUUCAAACCCACUUCAUUUAAAAAUCUCGAUUCACCAUUACAACACUGACUUCAGCAGCGAUUGCCUCAGUCUUUUCAAAACUCUACGAAGAAGAAAAAUCCAAAUUCUAUGUCUUUCCUUCCCCGACCCGAAGCAUGAAGCUCCUCUCUCUAAUUUCCUUGAUCUUCAAAAACCUCCAAUGAAACCGAACUAGUAACCUUGCAAAAGCUUAAAAACUAGCUCCCCCCUCGAUUUCCCUCCAAAAAAAAAAAAAACCUACACCACUCCAAAACUAUAUCCCCCCUAACCUUAUCCUCUGAAUUUCUUAAAUCUUCCGUUUUAGAUCCGGAAUUGGCUCCCACCUCAAGCUUGGAUCCGGAAUCGGCUCUCGCCGCCAGGCUUUCUCCUCCGUUUUUACCUUUAAGAAAUCCAUUUACCGAAAACAACGUUCCCUGAGACGGCACAGAGAACAGGACAGCCUGAAACAGAAUCGAACCUCGUAAUCGGGACCACAUUGAGUCGCCCGACCAAUUCAGGUCCUAUAUUGGUAAAGAUGCCCGUAGUAACCUGGAUGUUCCCGUAAUUGGGUCAAAUUGGUCCUCGCAUCAGAUUGGCUAAGACCCGUAGUAAGACCUGGAUUUCCCGUAACUAGACUGCAUUGGGUUGCCCCACCAAUACAGGUCUCAUAUUGGGUAAGAGGACCCGGAUUGGAUUAUCGAAAUUGGAUCCAAUUGGCUCCUCGAACCCGUCGUGUGAAUUGGUCCUUCUCUUCCUGCUGACUCCCGUUAUUGAAAUCGAACGGGGCAUUCCAGUAUGCCCCGGCUGACUGUAACGGAGUCACUGAACCUGACCACUCAGUAUUUGUACUGGAGUUGGGCGAUGCUCCCAAUAUUCGAGGUAACUGAAUAUUAAUAAAAUUCCCCUUUCUUUUUAUUUUCACUGUAUACUCGUGUUACAACACGACAACGUAACUCGAUUUCACAAAAUAGUCAAGAAUAAUCAAACCCACUUCAUUAAAAAUCUCGAUUUACCAUUACAACACUUACUUCAUCAACGAUUGCCUGAGUCUUUCCAAAACCCUAUGAGAAAAAAAAAAUCCAAUUCUUUGUCUUCUUUCCCCGCCCGAAGCAUGAAGCUAGCUCUCACCUCAAAAACCCUAAUGAAACCAAACUAGUGACCUUGAAAAGAGCUUGAAGCUAGCUCUUCGAUCCAAAAAAUCCCAUCUGAAAAAAAAACCCCAUCUCAAAAACUUAUUCUCUCCCCUACCUUAUCCUCUGAAUUUCUUCAAUCUUCUGUCUUGGAUCCGGAAUUGGCUCACACCGUCAGAGCUUGGAUCCGAAAUUGGCUCUCGCAGUCAGAGCUUUCUCCUCCAUUUUUACCUUUGAGAGAUCUUUUUAUCAAUAACAACGUUCCUUGAAAUGGCACAGAGAACAGGACAGCCUGAAACAGAAUUGAAACCCCAUAAUCGGGACCACAUUGAGUCGCCCAACCAAUUCAGGUCUCAUAUUGGCUAAGAGUCCAGUAGUAAGAACCGGAUGUUCCUGAAAUUGGAUCAAAUUAGUCCUUCACGUCAGAUUGGCUGAGGCUCGUAGUAAAACUUGGAUUUUCCCAUAUUUAGACUGCAUUGGAUUGCCCGACCAAUUCAGGUCUCAUAUUGGUGAGAGGACCCGGAUUCGAUUCUUGAAAUUGGAUCCAAUUGGCUCUUCGAACCAAGCUCACCCGUUGUCGUGUUGUAACACGAGUAUACAGUGAAAAUAAAAAGAAAGGGGAAUUUUAUUAAUAUUCAAUUAUCUCGAAUAUUAGGAGCAUCGACCAACUCCAGUACAAAUACUGAGUGGUCAGGUUCAGUGACUCCGUUACAGUCAGCCGGGGCAUACUGGAAUGCCCCGUUCGAUUCCAAUAACGGGAGUCAGCAGGAAGAGAAGGACCAAUUCACACGACGGGUUCGAGGAGCCAAUUGGAUCCAAUUUCGAGAAUCCAAUCCGAGUCCUCUUACCCAAUAUGAGACCUGUAUUGGUGGGGCAACCCAAUGCAGUCUAGUUACGGGAAAUCCAGGUUACUACGGGCAUCUUUCCCAAUAUAGGACCUGAAUUGGUCGGACGACUCAAUGUGGUCCCGAUUACGGGGUUCGAUUCUGUUUCAGGCUGUCCUGUUCUCUGUGCCGUCUCAGGGAACGUUGUUUUCGGUAAAUGGAUUUCUUAAAGGUAAAAACGGAGGAGAAAGCUUGAAGUGGGAGCCAAUUUCGGAUCCAAGCUUGAGGUGGGAGCCAAUUCCGGAUCUAAGACGGAAGAUUGAAGAAAUUCAGAGGAUAAGGUUAGGGGGGAUAUAGUUUUGGAGUGGUGUGGAUUUUUUUUUUGGGGGAUGGGAGGUUUUUGAAGAUCAAGGGAAUUAGAGAGAGGAGCUUCAUGCUUCGGGUCGGAGAAGGAAAGACAUAGGAUUUGGAUUUUUCUUCUUCGUAGAGUUUUGGGGAAGACUGAGGCAAUCGCUGCUGAAGUCAGUGUUGUAAUGGUGAAUCGGGAUUUUUAAAUGAAGUGGGUUUGAAUACUCUUGACUGUUUUGUGAAAUUGAGUUACGUCUGUGAUUGAAGGAUUAAAAGGGUGUCUAUAGGAUUGAGUAUGCGGAGUGAAUGAAAUUUAUUGGGUUAAUCUAACAAGACAGUCAGUGGAUACAAGAUCGUAAGUACAAAGCAGUAUUGAAGGUUAAUAGUUUGGGUUGUACGGGGUUCUCUGUAACGUCUAGAGACCUACCGGCUGGGGCAAAAAGGACUCUGACAAGCAGUCGAAGAGCACCCGUAUAGAUUUACGGUACAUUGUUGCAGUCGUUUAUAUUCCAGCAGUCAAAAACUGAUAGACUGCUUGACUAUCGGUGAAUCUCCAUACUACCUUCUACAGCCAGACGCCCGGCGCGUUCUCGAGCAGAAAAGCACGUAAUACGACACCGUUGUGUGAAUUGAUCCUUUUCCUUCUUGCUGACUUCCGUUAUUGGAAUCGAAUGGAGCAUUUCAGUAUGCCCCCGCUGACUGUAACGGGGUGACUGAACCUGGCCACUCAGUAUUUGCACAGGGAUUGGUCGUUGCUCCCAAUAUUCGAGGUAACUGAACAUUAAUAAAAGUCCCCUUUCUUUAUAUUUUCAUAGUAUACUCAUGUUACAACACGACAACGUUGUAUCUUGAACAAAGAAAUGUUGCUCCAUUGGAACAUCCUCAAUCCGAAUUUUGACAUGUGAACAAGCUCCAUAUAAUUCACCCCGUGUGUUAUUAGUUGCUCGUAUUGUCUAUCCAUGUUCCAUAUCAAUUGGCCAUUUUUGCUUCUUAUAAAGAUCUUUAGACAUGAGAUUUAUUUUAGAACCAUGGUCGACUAAAGCAACAAUUGGUUCUUCUAUAUCUCCUACUUUCACCAAUACCUCAGUAGUUGCCCUUGCCCAAUGCUUUCGAGUAUAACGGCUCAAAGUUUUCAUUUUCUUAUCACUAUAAUCUUCGAAAUGUACUCGUUGAUUAUAUCCAUUCUUUUUAUUUGUUGGUUGCUCGUAACCAAUAUCAACCUCUUCUUCAUCUCUACAUAUUCUUGCAUCAAUAGCAUGACUCAUUCCAGUUUCGCCCAUUAAUUGCCUCUUUCACUUAAUACUGUCAAUGAUAACAUCAUGAAACUCCUUCUUUGCAAUUCCCAAGACUUCUUUCAAUGUGAAUUCUACCUUAGCGUUUAAUAUACGUUCUUCCAACACCCCUUUCAAAUUUGUUGCCGCUUCAAUGUCAGAAAGUAGCUUAUAAGCAAUUGAUUUGCCCUUAUCUUUUGUCUCCGUUGUUUUUUCUCCCAAUGAUGCUGAGGUAUCCUUUACAGGUAAUUCUUGUGAAGCUGCUUCCCGAGCCUUGUCUCCUCGAGUUUGCCUCUUAGAAGAAUUUCCUUCUCUCGUAUCAUCAAAAUUCUCUCGUCUCUUUUCUUCUAUCAAAGCUUCAUGUUGGCUCUUAGCAAUAUAUGCAUGAACUGAAAGAGACUCAACAGGAUCCUCCCAACCUGUUCUUCCUCGUAUUGUAGCUGCAGUUCUCAAUAACGCUUCUCGAGGUAAUUUCCCUUCUUGCAUUGUAGAAAUGGCAGAAGCCCAAAACUCACUAGUUUUCAUAUUUCUACCAAGGUCAUCAUCUACUCUAGCACCAUAACUUGUACUUUCUCGUGCUGCUGUUUCGUGUUCUUUUAAGUAAUCUUGAACCAAUGCUCUCAUUCUUCCCUUGCCAAAAUUGGUCUGAAGAAGAUCCUCCCUAUCUUUCAAUGCUAUCUUCCCAUCUUUCCAGCAAAUAAUUCCUUGCCGUAUCAUAUUAUUAAAUUCAUUGCAAUCUUUUCUAGUGUGCGAAGCAUCAUCACACCAAAUGCAUCUUUGUACAUAUCCUUGUUUUGAAACAUUCUUCGAAUUGUUUAUAGAAGUAUUCUCUUGAAGUCUUGCCAAUUUGAUUUGAAGAUCUCGCAUUCCUCGUAUAAUUUCUUCCAUACCCAUAUCUGCUUUCUUUGACAAGGAUGUCGAAGGUUGAACUGUAGGCAUUGUCGGUGGUUUUGUACGUACUGGAGCUUUGGGUGCUUGUACUGUUUUCGGAAUAUUGCUCCUAUCCUUCCUCCUUUCUUUUUUUGUAAGCAACCCCACCGCAUCUUCAACGUUCUUCCACUUCAUUGUCAAUCCUUCAUCUCCUUCUUUGUCUUCAAGAAGGAGUUCUAAUUUUCCUUGCAAUUCUCCAUCAACAGCUUGAAGAAAUAGAUCAACUUUGUUCGGCUCCAAUGUCAAUUUUUCUACCUUUGAUAAUUGAGAGUACUGCCUUUCAAAUUCCCUUAGUAGCUCUGUUGCUUGCAAAUUCUUAUUAGGCCGUUCAAUCCAUUCCCGAAACAACUUCUUAGUAACGCGAUCAGUAUCUUGCAAGAAAUAUUUGUCUUUCAAUGCAUGUAAAAAAACCUCCCAUGAAUUCCCAUAACGAUCCGUAAUCGAUGUAAUAUGGUCUCUUAUCUCUGGUAUUGUGGCAAGUACAAAUAAUUCAACCGUUUUCUUCUCAGAAAUCUGAUUUUAUUCCAUUUUGUGAACAUAACAUCUUUAAUACCUUGAAAUAUUCCUUCUUUCAAAUUGAUCAAUUUUAUUGACCACUGCUUACAAUGCUUUGGUUGCCAAAGCUUCUUUUUAAUCAUUGCUUUGCUGUUGCUGCAUUGAUAAUGAAAAGGCUUAAAACAAACUAACAAUAGAUGGAUCCAUGUGCAUACCUUGUCCUUUAGAAGAAUCCUCACAAGAAACUUCUUCCAAAGAUCCUUCAAAAUUUUUAUUUUCUUUCUCCAUAAAAAUAAAAAUAAAAUCAAAUGAAAUCCAAUACCUUCCACCUCAAGCCUUCACGUCGGGUUCACCACUUAUUUCAUAUUACGUGCUUUCCUGCUCAAGAACGCACCGGGCAUUUGAUUGUAGAAGGUAGUAUGGAGAUUUGCUAAUAUUCAAGCAGUCUAUCGGUUUUUGACUGUUGAAAUAUAAACAACUGCAAGAAUAUACCGUAAAUCUAUACGGAUGUCCUUCGACUGCUUGUCCAAAUCCUUUUUGCUCUAGCCGGUAGGUCUUUAGACGUUACAAAGAAUCCCAAACAACCUAAUCUGCUAAUCUCCGAUGUCGCUUUAUACUCACGACCUUGUAUCCACUGACUGUCUUGUUAGAUUAACCCAAUAAAUUCUAUUCACUCCGCAUACUCAAUCUUAUAGACACUCUUUUAAUUCUUCAAUCAUAGACGUAACUUCGAUUUCACAAAACAGUCAAGAGUAAUCACACCCACUUCAUUAAAAUCCCGAUUCACCAAUACAACACUGACUUCAGCAACGAUUGCCACAGUCUUCC